rnacentral:lncRNA from 1 species
ACUUUUUUUUUCCUACGGAAAUAUAUAUAAUUAAUAGAGAUAUAAUUAAUAACAAAAUUAAAUUAGAAUAUCAUUGUGUUGGAAGCAAGUAAACAACUUCCCAGACCACGUGUAUAUCCCUUAAAGCAUUCAAUCUCUGAAUUAGUCAAGCCAACUUAUCGUUUGGUUCCAUGAUUCAACCUUCAAUCAAUUCAAUUUCUGUAUUUUAGUCUUCUACGAAAUUUCUAGGAAAUUUCCCUACCCACGAGCUGCGGUCUUCGUCAUCCACCAAUCUCAAAGUCCUCAGAUUGACAAAAGUCAGUAUAUUCAUUUUUUUUUCCCUAUAAAUUCAGGACAAGAGUGAAGGAAAUAAUCACACUGCCAAGUGAAGGAAAUAAUCACAAGCCAAACCUUUUCUUUUAACAAUCUUGAUUGAGUUUCAGGUUUUUGAGGAAAUUUUUUUACACAGGCUUGUAGUACUACUGCAGCAGCACCCUGCGAAAGGUAUCAACUAAGCAUUCGGUAAGAAUUUACUUCAGCAUUGUUUAAUUCCCCCUGUUUGUUUGUCUGUCUAUUGCGCUACUGCUGUAUAUCUGGAGAAUCAAAAAUGGUUUUCAAAUGUUUGUCCCUCAAAAUAGACAAUAAUAUAUUGCCAACGUUGUCAUCCUACUAUAGGUUACAAGGCAGAGUGGCAAUCAUUACUGGCGGAGCAAGCGGGAUCGGAGCAUCUGCGGCUCAGCUUUUCCACAAAAAUGGAGCCAAAGUUGUCAUAGCCGAUGUGCAAGAUAAUCUUGGCCAAGCCCUAGCCGAUAAGCUAGGCCACCAGGAUGUCUGCUACAUCCAUUGUGAUGUAUCAAAUGAAAGGGAAGUCAUCAAUCUUGUUGAUACCACCGUUGCUAAAUUCGGAAAGCUCGACAUCCUGGUCAAUAGCGGAUGCAAUCUUGAGUAUCGUGGCUUCGUGAGCAUUUUGGACACCCCAAAGUCCGAUCUAGAACGUUUACUGGCUGUGAACACAAUUGGUGGUUUCUUAGUAGCCAAGCAUGCUGCAAGAGUCAUGGUGCCACGCCGCAGAGGUUGCAUAUUGUAUACAACGGGUACAGGCACUACUGCUUGUACGGAAAUUGAAGGUUUGUGCAAUAUUCCAGCUAAUUAUUAUGGAGUGUCAAAAUUUGGGAUCUUGGGACUUGUCAAGAGCUUAGCGGCAGAGCUUGGACGGUAUGGAAUAAGAGUAGAUUGCGUAUCGCAUACUUAUGGCUUGGCAAUGGCUGAAGCGAUAGCAUCAAUAGCAAACGCUGCGCUUUACAAUAUGGCUAAAGUUGAUGAUACCAGUUAUGUGGGUAAGCAAAAUCUUCUUGUCAAUGGAGGAUUCAGAUGAGAGUUGUGAAUCCGACCCUUUAAGAGAGCUUUCAAUCGAUGAAAAAAGUUUCUGAGUUUUUUAGCUUCAUUUUUCUCAUAUGUCAAUUCAAAAUUAUGUGAGAAUUGAAUGAUAUAAUUUUGUAACUCAAUCUCUGUUUUUUUUUUUUUUUGGAUUUAAGUAGCAUUAUUAGUUUGGUAAGUUGGGUAAUUGCAUUUAUUAGAAAAGUUAGUGAGUGAAGCUCUUAAUUUCUAACACACGUUUUAAUUUAAAAAAUGAAAAAAAAAAACAAUGAAAUCCCACUUUUUAUAUUUGUUGCUCUUCCUGAAUGAAAAUUACAAAAAAAAAAAAAUGAUAGUAAAGAAGAACCAAAGAAUCUUCAUUUAAUAUCAUAAAAAAACUAAAAAAAAUUGUAAACAUAAUUUUUUCACAAUAAAGUUUUAAUUAUUAAAUAAUUUAUUGUUUCAUUAUCUGCUUAUUAGGAGUUUAAUUGAAGAUAUUAAAGUUUAUGAUUUUCCAGUGUAAAGAAAUUUUAUUUUGGUUAAAUGUUUGUCCUUUUAUAUAAUUUCUUAUAUUAGAACCAUCCUAUAAAACCACAAGGCGUGUGAAAAGCACUACUGAUAAAGAUUUUCAAUGCAUUAAAAAAAACUGUAGUGUUAGAAGGGUCAUGUACAGCCCUUCUUAAAAACCAUUAGUACCCCACUUGUUCCUUGACUAAAUGCGUUCCUAAAAUUAUUUACAAAAUACUGAGACACAAUGUAACAUGCUAAGCUGUAUUUUGAUAAAUUCUGUAUGCCAUUUUGAUUCCCUCCCUCCUUCAAACCUAUAUUAUGCCCUUGUUAUGUCGAAAUAUCAUUUCUUUUUUAAAAGAAAAGAAACAAAAUUGAAAUUCUAGAUGAAUUUUAAGUUUUAAUUCUAUCAACAAUAUGGAUAAUCAAUCAAGCUGCUGGUUUUGAAGAGAAUGGAAAAAAAAGACAGUGAACAGUUUGUGUGAUCUGGGCUUACUGUUGUUAUUGUUAAGAAAAAAGCAAAUAGUAAGCAAAUCAAUUUUAGGCAUACAAUAGCUAAUGGGCUUGUAGCCCACUGGUAGCCCAUAUUUUAAGUGUAUGAAUUUGAUUUUAACAUGUGUUGAGAUUCUAUUUCUUUCUCAAUUUUAAAAAUUAGUUAAACGUAGACCUCUUUCUCAUUAAUGUCAAUAGUGGAUUAGAUUCUUUUCAGAUUUUACAGGGGUGAAAAUUUAGGUUGUGAAUUAGAAAGAUCUGUGCAAAAUAUAAUUAUAUUUUAUUCACCUCGGCUGGUUUGAUUAAAUUGAAAUGAAUGUAAGCGGACUCCAUAAGGGAAUAGGAUCAUUUCUUGAUUUGAUCUCUACUGAGUUUUUUAAUAUUUUUUUUUAUGUGUCUUUUAGUGAUAGUAUAUGAGUAAAAUUUAAUUUUUUUUAUUUUUUUAAUUUAUUAACAAUCAAUUAGUAAUUGAAUUAUUUACUCAGGAUAUGAUUAGAUCAAGAGAGAAUCUUGAUCACUCCAUCAGAUGAUAUGACUUAUAGGGCAUUUGACUUUUAUUUUUAAAUUCCUAUUCGAAUUUCUAAUUCAUUUCUCUUAACGCUAUAAAUCCAUGCAAGAAUGAAGGGAGAAGGCAGCCCUUUCCCCAGCUUUUACUUCACUCUCAAACUUUCACCUUUGGGUUUUUGAGGAAAAUAUGGACGGUGUACUCUCCGCGGCACCCCCUAGAAGGUAACUAAUUAGUAUUCCUUUACAGUUUAUGGUCUAAGACCUCAAAUAAUCCUGAGAGAAAUCAAUCCGGGUCUCUGGUUCUUAAGAAUGAUUUGGUCUUGUUAAUUGUCAUUCGAUUUCAGGUUAGAAGGCAAGGUGGCAAUAAUCACCGGUGGGGCAAGUGGAAUUGGAGCAACGACGGUUCAACUUUUCCACGAAAAUGGAGCCAAAGUUGUUAUAGCAGAUGUCCAAGAUAGCCUCGGCCAAGCCCUUGCUUAUAAGCUAGGCGACAGUGUUUGUUACAUCCAUUGCGAUGUAUCAAAGGAAGAUGAGAUCACCAAUCUUGUUGACGCAACAGUGGCUAAAUACGGAAAGCUCGAUAUCAUGUACAACAAUGCAGGCAUCGUUGGCCGUGCUUUUGGGAGCAUUUUGGACACUCCAAAGUCUGAUCUAGAGCGCAUACUGGCCGUUAACACAACUGGUGCUUUCUUAGGAGCCAAACAUGCUGCGAGAGUCAUGGUGCCGCAGCACAAAGGUUGCAUUCUGUUUACAGCUAGUUCUUGUACAGAAACUGCAGGGCUUGGCUCCCCUGCUUAUGCAGUGUCCAAAUAUGGGAUUGUAGGACUAGUAAAGUGCUUGGCGGCAGAGCUUGGACAGCAUGGAAUUAGAGUAAACUGUAUCUCACCACAUGCCGUGGUGACUCGAAUCUCAGAUCUCUUUGACCGAGUGGAUCCAACAGUGAUGGAGGCACAAUUGAGGGAGAUGGGCAAUUUAAAAGGGCAGGUUCUGAAAACUGAGGGCAUUGCGAACGCUGCUAUCUACCUGGCUAGUGAUGAAGCAAAUUAUGUGAAUGGGAUUAACCUUGUGGUGGAUGGAGGAUAUAGUGUUGUCAAUCCUACCAUUCUGAAUAUGUUGAAUGAUGCCAAUAAGUAAUUGUGGUCUAAACCUUGCAGCCGGUUAAGUUGGCUUUGCUCUGUAAUUUUAUCAAUUUGACCCAGGAAGGAUUAAUAAAGUUGCUCAACUUUGAAUUUUUUUUUUUUUAAAAAGGACGGAAAGUAAUUGAUGAGUUGCAUGGCGAUGGAAUUGAAGAUGCAAUACUCACCAUAUUUAAUAAACACAUUAUUAGGUCUAAUUUUUUUGAAUUAUUCAGAAAGGAUACAAGUCAAGUGAAGCGUACUAUUGAUGAAUUUAUUAAGCACAGCAAGAAACGAAGCUUCAUCGUCAAGGUGUUCCAACUACUGGAUUAAAGUUAGGUGCCCCCAUAAUUGUAGGAUUCACGACACUGAACCCACAAUCAAGUACAAGGUUUCCACCACUCACAGGGAAGUCGCUUUUAUUGGAAGAAUUUAUGCCUUUCGGUUUGAACAGAGACUUUUAAUUUAGAUUAUAGUACGAACUUAAAAGUGCUUUCUACAAUUGGGACUUUCUCCAAAAAAACUCGUGGUAAAAAAAAAAUAAUAAUAAUAAAGAAAGAGCAGAUUUUGCAACACCAUCGGCUUUCAGAACUUGUCCUUUUAAAUUACCCGUGGCACUCCAUUCAUUAAACUAAACAUUAUUCAUCUCUGUCACCAACGAAAAGGGGGCCACGCAAUUUACUCUUACACCUUGCUGUCCGAGCUCAACUGCCAACCGUUUAACCAUUGGUACAAUAUUAUACCAUUGCCAUGCCCCAUAAUAAUAGGCAGUUGCCAUGCAUUUAAAUAUCAUCCAUUAAAAAAUUAAGAAUACUGGUGGUAAGUUAGGUGUUUUUACUAACCUUUUAGAAGAUACAAUUGAUAAUUAUUGGAUGAAAAUAUAAAAUUAAUUAAAUUUUAAUUAUAUAUUGCUAUACAUGCACGUGUGGUAGAAGUUGAUUUUUUUUUUUUAUGUUAUAUAUAUCACGUUAUGGAGAAAUUUUAUAAUACAUUAAAUGUGUCAUUUUAGUUAUAACAAGCAAAUGAUGUUAUGACAUAUGUACAUUUAGUUUAAAAAACCACCAUGCAGGUGUUUCAUUUUUUGCUUCUUUACUCUCGGAUGUAAGAAGAAUAAAAAGACUGAAGAAUAAAAGACUUCAAUCUCAAAUUAAUUUACAGUUGAUAUGUGCUCAAACUUCAUUUUCAAAUUGAUCUGCAAUGAAUCUUUUAUUUAUUUAUUAUUAUUAUCUUGAACAAAUCUUUCUCAAAUUUCGGGUGUUAAAAUCGUGCCAUUUAUCAUUGCCUCAGUUUCUAUUUAAUGAAUUUCAAAUUAUUUGCACCAAGAAAUAUAAUUUAUGAAUAAAGGAAUAAAUUAAAUUGGCCAGAAUAAUAUUUUGUGCAUUUUUUAACAUUAUUUUGUGAAUUUAAUAGUGAACCAACUUGUAGAAUGAAUUAACUAGCAUCUAAGAUAAAAAAGAGGCUAGAAAAUGAUCAACAGGGAACAUGCACGUUACAGAUCAUUAAUGAAGAUUAUGAUUCAUCCAUAAUCUAAAUUUUGAAUAAACUCAAUUCGGUUAAUCUGCACAAUGUCUGUUCUAGAUCUUGUAAGUUUAAUAAAAGUAGAAAUUGCAUUUUUAUGUUUCUCCUCACGCAGCGAGUGUGAGAGAGAGAGCAACAAAAGAGAAGCAUUUUUUUUUUUAAAGAAGAAUGGAGAAAAUAUUUUUUUUAUUAUUAUGGGACUCACGCUAAUUAAUUAAUUUAAAAAUAUUUUAUGCCAGUUUUAAUCACAACAUUUAAUAAGUACCUCUAAUUUAGUAGUUAAAUGUCUCAAAUUAGGUUCAAUAUUGUUAUCUUCAAACCUGUCCCUUUACUUUUAUGUCGCCCAUUCUCGAUGGGCAGUGCUAUCAACACUCGCUUAUACGAGCGACUGUUGCAGUCGCUGCCUCAGCUGGCAACACAUGUCCCGUUGUUUAAAUAUCUGUGUCAAUUUAUCAAGUUAAGAAAACAGUCAUCAUUGUUCAUUUUAUUACAAUAUUUACCAUCUACUUGAAUGACCAAAGUUACCAUAAUACCCUUAUCCUCUCCACUCUUAGAUACCCAGACCAACAUUUGCCGAUAUUGUUUAAAUAUCUGGUAACAUUUGUUCUGUUUAACAGUUACUGUGAAAAUAUGUUUUAGGAAAUAAACAAAUAAAAUAUACUCACAGCUUAAGAGAUCCUUGAGCUUGCAUGAUUUCAAUAAUAGAAUGGGUUUGUUUUGACUUCACCAAGCAGCUUCUCUUCAUUCCAUUUUUCUGAAUAAAUUUUGGGCGAUUUUCUAAACAGCGCUAAAUUGCAUCCGAAAAGAAGGAAAAAAGAUUCAGUGCUUUGGUUCUUCAGAUUCUUGGCAAGAGGUAGAGAAUGGUAAUUUCGUUUCCAAAAGGGCGUGCAAUUUUAAAAUAGAAGUAAAAUGUGAUUCAUGUUUUCUUAAUUAAUUAAAAAAAACGAUUGAAACGAAAUGGAGAGGCUAGGCUUUUUUAAUAGAUGAAUUGAUCUCGUUGAAAGGGCAAUAACGAGCAAUGGAGAGGUUAGGUUUUUUAAUAAGAUGGAUUGAUCUCGCUAUGGAUUGUAUAACCACCUCCUCAUUUUAUGUUAUCAUAAAUAGCCUAGCCCCUUAGCAGUUCCAUUUAUGAUAACAUAAAAUGAGAAGGUGUUAUACAGCCAUAGCGAGAAUCAAUCCAUCUACUUUAUUACCAAUGUUCUUACUUUUUUCCCUUUUAUUAAUUUUUAAAUUUGUAUAUCUUUAUACAUAUUUUUAUCUUUUUANNNNNNNNNNNNNNNNNNNNNNNNNNNNNNNNNNNNNNNNNNNNNNNNNNNNNNNNNNNNNNNNNNNNNNNNNNNNNNNNNNNNNNNNNNNNNNNNNNNNCCAUGGACGUGCACAGCACUGACGCCCCAAGCGGGAGAUCAAUCCAUCUAUUAGAAAAGCCUAGCCUCUCCAUUGCUCGUUAUCACUUCUUAAUUAAUGUCGUUAUCACUCCCCAAUAAUUAAAGACAACGGAGGAUAAUAUAUUAAUAAUCAGUUGGAUUCGGUUUUGUCUAAAAAUUUAAUUAAAUUGACCUCGAUCGGUUCAAUAAUUUAUAAACUAAAUGCAAACUAAACUUAUGAAUUGAAAUUUGAUUUGGUUUAAUUUGUUUCAAUAAAUUUAAUAUUUUUUCAUUUAUAUCAACUAAAUUUUAUAGUCUUUUCGCCUAAAUUUAAUUCUUUUUUUUUAUCUAAUUCAAUUGUAAUCAUUAAUCAUUUAUGUUUACGUGAAGAUAUUAAUAUAAAACAAUAUCAUAACAAAAAAGUAUUAUAGUGAAUAUAUAAAUAAAUAAUUUUAUUUUUUUAAUUCAACAAUGAACCAAUUGAACUUUUCAAUUCAAAUUAAAAAAAAAAUCGAUCAAUUUAUAUUUUUUUUAAUCACUCAUUUUUUAUUAUCCAAACUGCACCUAUAUAAGUAUAUAUUUUGAUUUGAUUCGACUCAAUUUAAGUAAAACCGACCCGAACCCACAGCUACUCAUCCUCCUCAUUUUGGAUUAUUGUUUAAUGAAAGAGCUUGAAGUAUCAAAGACCAAAUGAGCAUUUUGUAAGCUAAAUUUGACUCAAACGAGCAUUAAUUGUUGGUUGUGCUAUUUAAAAAAUAAAUAAAUAAUUCAGCUUCAAUAUUGUGUGUCCAUUGUUUCUCGUACCACUAAUUAAAGAUAGGGUUCAACUAUUUUAUAAUACCUUUAAGGUAGGGCAGUCCAGAGUGAGAAUGAUUUGUGGGGUGGGUGAGAAUGAGAUAGCUUUUGUUAUGGAAUAUGGAGACGGGAGAGUGAUGGUCCACACGGGAAAGUGAAAUCGCAAACUUGAUCAGCAUCGCACAUUUGACAUCUUCAUACAGUGGAUUAAAAGAGAGUAGAGAGCGAAAUUGAGUGUUUAGUUUGCACAAUGUGAGAGUAGAGAGAGAAUACAUAAUUGUAAAUUUAAAAAAGAAAAUAAUAGAUAAUUUUACAUUUUUUAAUUUUUUAAUUUUUUAAUUUUUAAUAAUGAAUUUAUUUUUUCAAUAGGUGUGGAGAGAAAUUUAAUAGAUUCAACUAAACUCACCUUUGUAAAUCACAAUAAUGACAAAUUGACCCUUAUCACAUCCUGAAUUUGCAAAUCAUACAGGUAUGACAAUAAAGAAUAAGUGCAGCAAACAACAACAUCCAUUACUAAAAGCUUUAAUGAGAUGAUAAGGACUUAAAAUCUUCAUCAUUUAUGGGGAUUCACAACGCUGAAUCCUCCAUCCACCUCAAGGUUGAGGCCACUCCCAUAUCUUUAUUUGCACCUUGGCGUCCAAGCUCGGCCACCGCGCUUUGAACUAGUGUUAUAUAUCUUAAAUUUUAACGUAUUGUAAAUCUCAAUUUAUCUUAAUUUUUGUAGGGAAAAUAAAAAAAAAUUCAUUAAUUUAUUUUUAUUUUCCUUUAUUUUUUGAAUAAAAAUAAAUUAAAAUUUAUAAUAAUGUAAAAAUAAUUUGAAGAUAUUUAUUUGACAAAAGAAAUAAUCUGAAAUUUAUCCUCUUUAGAAACUGUACGAGUAGGACCCCGCUGUCCCUGCAAUUUCUGCGCAAGCACUAGCCGCUAGCUGAAAACGAUAUGCGACCUUUGUGUUGUGGCAUCAUGACCCUUGCAGCAUCUUUGGCUCCCACAGCCACGAUCAAGGAUGCUCGUUCUAUUGUACAUUAUAUCGAGCUUUCCAGUUCAGUGUCAACAAAUUGAUGAUUUCAUCUUCAUUUGUUGUUAAAUCACAAUCAAUGUAACAAACACCUUCCACUAGCUUGUCAGCAAGGGCUUGUCCAAGAUUAUCUUGGAUGCAAAUUAAUGGUAAAUUAAUUGUUAUUGAUUAAUUUGAUGGGCCCAACAUUUCAAAAAUUCCAAGCUAGCUAGCACGCAUGAAUGUGCAAUAAUCUAAAAUUCAAAACUUAUAGCUAUCACAAUUAAACAGUGUGAUUCGUUAUUUACGUUUUGCUUUCUCUACUGCAAAGGCACUGUUCUUCUACUCCUAAAAAUCUUGAAACUUUGCAAGGGGGAGUUUGGCAAAUAAAUUUAAAUGUGAAGAUUUGGGUUGUUCGUUGAAUUCUUUCUUGAGUUUUUUUUUUUUUAAUAAUCUCAAUAGUUUGGUCCAACUUGAAGGCUGCAGUUAAAUAAUAAUAAUGCGACGUCUUUGGUACUCUUGGUGCAUUCUUCUUUAUUCAUUAUAUUGUCAUAAUUAGUUAAAGGGUUCGAAUAUUUUAGAAUCGCUCCACGGCGGAACACUCCUUCAUAGGCACAUAAUCAAAGUUAUAACAUAUUUUAUUAUUAUUUAUCACUUUACUUGUUUAGCUACCAUUCAUGCUUUAUCUUAGAAUGACUCCAAUGUGGCCAUGGCUUUAGUUGAAGUAUACAAAAUGAGUAAAUAGAAAAGGAGUAAUACUCCAAGAUCACCCCAAGAAUUUUCCAAUCAAAAUAAAGCCUAAUAUAGAAAAUGCUACUGAUUAAUUAAAAUAAAAACAACAAUUAUUUGAAUUCCUUAAAUGCAAAGUUUGAUAACCAAAUGAAAAUUUGCCAAAUAAAUCACAAUCACAGUGCAAAGUCAACAUUUAUCUUGCAUUUUACUACUGACGACUGGGAUUACUUUCUGAAUUUUGUGAAUCAAACACAUCAUUGCAAUAAAUGAUAUGCCAAGGAAACUCCGACAUCCAUCACCAAUUGCUUUGAUCAGAUGAAAUGGACUAGCAAACUUCAUCAGGGAAGGAUUCGCAACGCUGAAUCCUCCAUCCACUACAAGGUUUAGCCCAGUCACGUCGCUCGCUUCAUCAGUAGCAAGGUACAGAGCAGCGUUUGCGAUGCCCUCAGCAUUCAGAACCUGCCCUCUUAAAUUACCCAUCUCGCUCAAGAAUGCUUCUAAUAUUGCUGGAUUAAUAGAAUUCCUACUCGAUAUUCCACUCACCAACCCAUAAGGCGACACGCAAUUUACUCUUAAGCCAUACUGUCGAAGCUCAGCUGCCAAGAUUUUGACCAGGGCUAUAAUCCCAUAUUUGGACACCGUAUAAGCAGGAGAACCGAUCCCUGCAAUUUCUGUACAAGCACUAGCUGUGAACAAUAUGCAACCUUUAUGCUGUGGGAUCAUGACUCUUGCAGCAUGUUUGGCCCCUAAGAAGCCACCAGUUGUGUUUACAGCAAGUACCCGAUCUAGAUCUGACUUCGGAGUGUCCAGAACGCUAGCAAAGCCACGGUCAACUAUCCCGGCAUUGUUGUACAUUAUAUCAAGCUUCCCGUAUUUAGCGACGGCAGUGUCAACAAGAUUGGUGAUUUCAUCUUCACUUGUUACAUCACAGUGGAUGUAACAAACAUCUUCCCCUAGCUUACACGCAAGGGCUUGCCCAAGAUUAUCUUGGACAUCGGCUAUAACGACUUUGGCUCCAUUUUCGUGGAAUAGUUUGGCGGCCGCCGCUCCUAUCCCACUUGCUCCUCCAGUGAUGAUUGCCACCUUGCCUUCUAGCCUGGACCAAAAUGGCAAAUUGUUAUUAAAAGUCAGUCCGGUAAAUGGGCCCCUCCCCCCUCUCCCCCAACAAAAAAGAGAAAAAGAAAAUUCUAAUUAAGGUAGCUCUUUUGAUCCACAGCAGUACUUUCCCUUCAUGUAGCCCUUUUUAAUUUUUAUACAACUCUUAUUGAACAAAGUAUUUUUGUCUAGCAUAGCGUGAUUGCGUCGAAGCACUUAUUAAAUAAAGUAUCGUAUACGUAAGUAAUGUUAUGCUAAUUGAAUUGUGAAUUUACCAUCAGACUCUAAUUUUGAUAUUUAGGUGAUGGUGAGAUCAGUUUUAUGAACCGAGCAACAUGGGAGUUGGGAGGACACUCACAUCGUGAAAUUAUGAGUUCAAUGGUACCGAAUUUACCAUCCAAGGACAACUUUCUCUUUUUCCACUGCCUGAAAAAACUCGCCGGCCUCAACACCAGGACUGUAUGCCGGCAGCCUUUUUUUUUAAAAAAAAAACAUUUUGCAACCUGAUGGGUAUUUUUGAAAGAACAAUUGUUUAUGGAGGAAAAUUUUGGUAUUGUACCUUAAAAAAAUUGAGUUUCAAAUAAUCAUGUUUAGAAAAGUUGCUUUAGGUUGCUUUUAUAAAUUAAUAUAAAAUCUGAUUCUUCGAAAAUCAAAUUAUUUAAGAACCAUUUUUAAAGUGAAUUUACCUAGUACUUUUUGAUUGCCAGAGUGUUAAAUCAAUGAUUAUUAGGCAAUUUAAAACAAUUCCAAGCAUGCACUAAACCUACUACAAAUUUUUUUUUGUACAUUUGUUAAAUAUUUGCUGGGGAGUAAUUUAUGAAUAAAAAAAAUAACAAGAAGUGCCGUUCGUUAUUUACCUUUUGCAACCUGAUGGGGAAGCACUAUUCAUCUUCUAGCUCCAGGAGAAUUUGAAAAACCAAACGUAAAGAUAUUGGCUUGUGGGUUAAAUUCUUUCUUCAGCCUUGAUGGAAUUUAGUUUUAUAAACUUAAUUAGCCAAUGUCAAUUUUUUUUUUGGAUUUGAUUCACGAAGUGAUCCUGGAUGAGCUCCAACCAAUGCCAAUUUAACACAAAAAAGGAAGUUAUUAUUUAUUAAAAACGUACUAUAAUCACUUCGAGCCUUUGGAACAUUAAUUAUAAGUUGUUGAAAUAAUCAUUCAGGUAGUUGGAUUCAAUUAAAAAAUUAAUUGACUACGUUUGUGCAUUGUUUUGAAUUAAUUUUUAUAUUUGUUUAAUAUUUUUUAAAAAACUGAUAUAUUAUAAUAAAAAUUUUAUUUUUCUACUCUCAUAUAAUACUAGAAAUAUAUUUGUUUUAUUCAAAUGAAUAGAAGAGAAAUUUUACUCGUAUCUAAUUUAAGAGGAGUGCUAGCGACAGUCGCUAGCAACACUCGCUGCGUCAGUCGCUGCCCCCUUCUUGCCACGUGUUGAUAUUUAUGCUUUUCAUACAUCUGCUUUGUUAUCUAAACAAAAAAAAAAGUGUCCUUCAAGUUUAAAAUUAUUACAAAUUUGCCAUACUCUUCUGUCCAGUAUGUUCUCUUCCGUCGAUUAGCUCCACUUCUCGAAUUGUCUCCCUACCGAAAACUUGUUACCUCAACCGCCUUCUCCCAGGCUGCAAAAAUAAAUUAUCAUUCUCCUCUCCCAUAAGCAACACAUAACAGUUAAGUAUUAAAACUUGAAUCUAUUAUCAGAUAACAAUCCUGAGAACAAUUUUCGAGUAGUAUCAUAUCGUGGCAAAAUCGCAACUCAGGAAAGUCGGUGCUGCGUUUCACAGAAAUGAGAAAUCUCCCCUUGAAGACCAUGAACACUGUAUAUGUAACCACUCGGUGCUAGUUCCAACAAUCUCCGAGUAGCUGAGGUUGCCAUAAAACAGACAAUCAUGACCAUGAAAAGCCAUUACUUUAACAAUGCAAAAUGUUUAGCACAACAAUUUCACCACAGUGCCACAUAUUUUGAAAAAAGAAAUAACUUUAUGAUCAUAAGUAAAUUUAAAUUCGAGAAAAGAAAUUCGAAGUUUUAGGUAAGUGGAAUUAUCGAGGCUGUAAAGAGGAGAAAUGGCAUGGCGGUAAAUUUGGAGAGAAUUUGAGGGCAAUUGUACACCGAAGGAAGCUGGCAGCGAGCGAGGGAAUUGAAGGUGAAGUGCAAGCGCUGUCGGAAGACGAGGAGAGCUUCGUGAUUGAAACACUGGAUUUGAAGAGCAAACAAUUAAAUCUGAGUCAGAACCUGACCCCAUGCCCUCGUGAAUUGUGCCGAUGAGCUCUUAACCCAUUGACGUGUUUGUUCAAAUACUUCAAUGAAGGUGAAGAUGAGUAAAUAUCUCCACCGACUUGAAAAUCUUCUUCAAUUUUUAUUUUUUUAGAAUUUUACCAACCUGAGGAGCUGUUCAUUUUCAUAAAGGUUAUGUACGUUAUAAGGAUAUAUGUUUGCUAUUAAAUGCAUGCGGUUCAUUAAUCAAAUUAUCAUGAGGGUAAAGGGCUCAUGCCGAAAGUUCAAAAUGGGCAGUAUCAGGUUAGUGGGUCCGUUCUUCCAUAUUCAAACAUCAUAAUUGAUUAUUACUACGUUAUAUCUUAAAACAAAUUAUAAUUAUCUUAUUCAACAUAAUAAUAGUGCAUUAUUAAAAUUUUGCGAAUAAUGUAGACUAAAUAAUAAUAAUUUAAACAUUAUAGGGAUGUACCGCAUUUUUGGAUAAUUUUGUGAACAAAUAAAUAAGUUUUUUUAGUCAAUAUACAUUAUCCAUCAAAUGAUGAUGAUGAUGAUUUAUGUCUUAAGAAGUAGAUAAAUUUGUCCAGUUUAUGAAUUAUGCUUCAAUCAUUCAAUUUAUCAAAUUUUUAAAAAUAAUAAUAAUAAAUGGGGUUCACUCUUUCUUUUUUAUUUUACUGCAAAUAUGACUGCACAUUAAAUAGGUUGGUGUUCAUUAAAUCCACCCUCAAUGCUUCACAAAGUCAUUAGUCCACCCAACGGUUAGAUUUUGUGUUAAACUUAACUAUUAACCACUUCAACAAUAUAAAAAUAUAAUAAUAUUGUUAUUAAUAAAGAGUAAUGCUACACAUCCUAAAUUUUUUAUCCCAAAAAAUUAUCUCAAAUGAUGUGUCAUUUAUCAAUUGGUUGGUGAGAUAAUACAAUUAAUUCACUUAGAUCUUAUAAAGAAUUAUUAACCACUCAAUUAAUGACAUAUCAUUUGAGAUAACUUUUUGGGAUAAAAAAUUUAGGAUGUGUAGCACUACUCAUAAAAAAUGACGAAAAUUUUAGCCCACAUAAUAUUGAUUAUUUUGAUACAAUGUUGAUUAAAAUCUUAUUACACAUAUAUAACAUAAAAAUAUAUAAUUAUAAUAUUUUUAAUUGUAUAUAUACAUAGUUAGUAACUGAAAUAUAUAUAUAUAUAUAUAUUAUUUUACCAUCUCAAUUCUUUAAUUACAAAGUAACUUAAAACAAGAGAAAUUAAUUAAUAUUAUUAUUAUUAUUUUUUUAUCAAUUGGGGCUCAAUUAAAGUUAAAGAACAACCGAGCGAGAAGUCGCAAUCCUGUAAGAGUCAUACAGAAGAAAAGGAUCUAACCCCCAGCGGAGGACUAGGGUAUACUAUAAGGCCAAGAGGCAAAGAACAAGUAAAGUUUACCAUAAAAUCAGCAGCAGAGUUCGUCUCUCUGUACACAUGAGAGUAUUACGGUGAGAUUUUUUUUUAUCAUUUUCCCCCCAAGUAUUACGGCGUUAAGAUCACAACUAGCAAUCAAACUCAACGUUUCGUUUUGGAAUAAAUUACUUUCUAAUGAGUCUAGGAAUGAAAAAAACUUGUUCAAUUUUGUUUCAUUCGAUAUCAAGGAUCAAAUAUGAAAUUAUUUGAACAGAGUUUUUUUUUUCCCCACUCAAAUGGGAAAAAACCUUGAUGAAAUUAACUAACUCGAUCAAGAAUCUGGGUACUGAAACAUUCCGAGGGAGGGAUUGACAAUAGUGAAACCUCCGUCAAUGAAAAGAUUGUGUCCACUCACAUACUUCGCCUCAUCACUCGCUAGAUAAAGAGCUGCAUAUGCAAUAUCUUCGGUCCUUAAAGUCACACCCUUAAGGUUAGCCGCUGAAUUCAUAAAACCUUCCAGAUCCUCAUCGGUAAUCCCAACAAAACUGGUAGCCAAAGGUGUUGCAAGAGCAUAAGGUGACAAGCAAUUCACCCUAAUCCCAAAUUGGCCUAGCUCAACAGCAGCAUUUUUGGUGAGUCCUAAAACAGCAUGUUUUGCACAACAGUAUGCAUGUGAGGCAGCAGCACCAACCCUUGAGCUAACGCUAGCAGUUGAAAGAAUGCUGCCACUGCGAGCCGGAAUCAUGACACGAGCAGCAUGCUUGAUGCCCAAGAAAACUCCGGUGACAUUUACACUCAGGACACGCUCGAAAUCGGCCUUUUCAUUGUCGAUUAUGCGGGUCUUGUUAGCGCCGCCUAUGCCGGCGUUGUUGAACAUUAUGUCCAGCUUGCCAUGAGUUGCAACGGUUUGGUCGAUUGCAUUUUUAAUGUGGGAUUCGUUUGUGACAUCGCAAUGGACAUAGGAUGAGUUUGAUGUGCCUAUGGAUUCAACAACUGAAUGGCCUAAUUGUUCCUGAAUAUCCGCAAUGACAACUUUGGCACCCUGUUGGGCAAAGACUUUUGCAGUGCAUGCACCAAUUCCACUAGCCCCUCCAGUAAUAAAGGCUACCUUGCCCUCUAGCCUACACAAUCCAGAUGCAAACCUUGAAAUGUUAUAUUUUUUUUCGAGGGUUUUACAAACUAACUUACUUAUAGAUCUUUGUGCAGGUAGAUUCCAAUCCAAUGAAUUAUCACUAAAAAAAAAAAAAAAAGCGAAUCAAUUCUAGGAGGAAAAAAAGGCGUUGAAAGUAGGAGAAUCUUUUUAAUAGUAAAGGGAUGUAAUUGAAUCUGAAAUAUGAGGGAGAAAAAACCAUAACAAUUUUGAAAUCUUGAAAGAUAUUUCUGUCUAUUUUCAAAUUGACUGGAAAAGAGCCUUUCUCUGUAAUUUCGAGUCAAACCAGUAGAUCUGAAAAUCUAAGCCAUUAAUUAUGUACAAUCCUGUAACAUUAAUGUUUUAAAGUGAAGUAUACACAAAAAUUGUUACUGUAAACUUAGGAUAGAAAAAGAGUGCAGAUAGCUCGAGUACUCGCUUUGAAUAGAAAGAUAUUGGUGAUGAAUAAAUCAUUUGUGUAUGUUUUCUGAAUUAGUACUAAAUAAGUGUCAUAAGCAUGAGAUGAGUAGCUGUUGGAUCAGUUGAUAAAAAUUAAAAAAAAAAAAAAACACUGAAGAUGAAAGCAAAAACCUGAUUUGGUUUGUUGUGACUUACCUUCUGGUGAUUGCAGAAAGAACCCCUGAGCUAGCCAUUUUGCAGAGAGGGUGAGAGAGAGAGAGGGGGAACUAAAUAGUUGAUUUCUCACCAGUGUAUUAUAUAGGGGUGGGCAAAAUCGGGUUCGGAUCGGGUUCGGAUCAACCCGAUCCGGUUUCGGGUUGGAUAAAAAUCGAUCCGAACUCCACCCGAAUUUAUAACUCGAUCCGACCCGAUCCGAAUUUAAUUCGGAUCGGAUCGGGUUAAAAAGUCAGGUGGAGUUCGGAUCGGAUCAGAUGCGGGCUAAUUUGGGUUCGGAUUAAAUUCGGGUUAUUCGGAUCAAUUCGGGUUAUAAUUAAUUAAUUUGGCAAUUUGGCAAUUGGGGAUUAAACGUAAUUUUAAUUGAGUUACUCCAUUAAUUAUCUUUAAUUAGAGGGAAGAGAGUGAAAGGGAGAAAAAAGAAAUUGUAUGACUUUUAAUUAAAUAACUUAUAAAUUUAGAAAUUAUGUACAUAUGUUAAAAUAUUAUUUGUUAGUGGUUUCAUAUUAGAUUAUGAAGACCCAAAACAUCACGCUAGAAUUUCUCCUGUCCAAAAGUUUUUCACAAUAAAAAAAUGAAUUAUUUUUUACAAAUUUUAAUCUUAUCCUAUGGUCAUGUUUGUUCAAAAUUCAAAGAAAACCUUAACGACUUGCUAUGUGGCACAAUAAUAAGUCUUAAUGUCUUAUAGUAAAAGAUAAAACCCAUUAAAUCUAAUAUUAAAAUAUAAUAAAUCACAAAAAAAAAACCCUCUACCAAAUGGCAGAACUCAAUCAGUGGACUGGAAUCCACAUUAAUUUUGUCCUGGGGCCACACGUUGAUACUUGAUAAGGAAACAUUUUUUUUCUUUUUCUUUUUUUUCUUUUUGACUUUUUGCCAUGGGGACCUCUGGAGAAGUGGAGAUACAGCCGUGUAAAAGAAAAUUUACAUACACUUUGCAUACACUUUAUCUAAUCCAAAAGACAAACACAGCAAACGUAAGGGAUUGAUUCAUUUUCAUUCUGGCAAUAACAACAUGAACGUGCAUGUCCUUUAUAAAACAAGGACAUUUCUCUUCCACUCUUGUCGCCUUGCUAACUAAGACAUUUCUUUCCCACCUUCCUUGUCCUCCCUCAUUCAUUCAUCCAUUCAUUUCAACCAACAAAAAAAGAAAACUACUAUAGAAUUAAAUUCAAAUGAUUCAAAAUUAAAAAUUAACACAAAGCAUAAAAUUAAAAUUAACACAAAGUUUAAAUUUAAUAGUCUCCAUCCAAAGCGCAAUGUCCAAUUCUAAAAUCUAAACAUUAAUCUUUAGAACACAAAAUUAAACAUAAUUAAAUAGUUUCCAUUUUCCAAAACACAAAUGACAAAGUUCCAAAAUCCAAAACACAACAAAAUUUAAAUGUAAAUCUAGAUCAACUUCCUCCACGGCUCCACCGUUCCUCGCAAGCACUUUGACAACUUUUAACUUCAAUUUCUUCUACUCCAAGUUGAAGAAUUGAAGCAUAUAUCCCCUAGGGAAAAAUUGAAAAAAUAAUAGAUAACUGUUUAACUACUUUCUUUAAGCCACAUUACAAAUAAAGGGACAUUAAACACAAACACAUAUGCCCAAUUCAUGUGUGUACUUGAUUAAAUAUAAGAAAAAAAAAUUAAGUCAAUUGUGGCUUAUUUCAUGGCAUUCAUCAUCAAGUAAAUUUAAUAAUAAUCCUAAUUCCUAAGUAAUACCAUUCCAACAAUUUCAAUGUGUCUAAAAUAAAUGAAACAAUUAUAAUGUCAUCACUUUGAAUUAAAACUAUAACAACUAUUGUCUAUUAUUAUAGUGUAAAUUACAACCUAAACAUAUAAUAUGAAAUUAUAAAUAAUAAUAUAUAUUAAGAAUUACCUUUCAAAUAUCCAUAACACCCAUAUCAGUGCUCAUUGUUUCCACCGUUGAAGCUUGUGAUCUUACAAACUCUUUAAAAUGUCAAAAAAAAAAUGAAAUUAGUAAGUAACUCCCUUCGAAUGUAGAUGCUAUUUAUAAAGUUAUAAUACAUCUUCACUUUAUAAAGUAUGAGAAAAAUAUUACCUUCUUGUAGCUCCAUAUGGAAUAUCUGCUCUUUAAUAUCUUCCUGAAGGUUGUAGACAAGAUUAGCAAAAAGUUUAGCUUGUAACCAAUUUUCGGUACAUAUCAAUGCCUCAACCAUACAAGGGGUCAAAGAACUCCGAUAUUCGUCAAUGACAUGACGCCCUGUGCUAAAGGCAGAUUCAGAUGCCACUGUGGAAACAGGAACAACGAUGACAUCCCUUGCAAUUUUCUCUAAUAUCGGAUACUUCGAUCCAUUAACCUUCCACCAAAGCAAAACAUUGAGCUUAAGAUUGCUUGGAUCUUCAACUGGGUCACUCAAAUAUAGUUCCACCUCAGAUACUACUCUCUUGCCCUCAUUCUGAACAAACACUUUCUGAGCAUACCCAAAGAAAGGGCGAGAAACUCGGAAAAUGUCAUCACCAUCACCACUAGGACCCUCCAGCAAACCAACCUCAGUUGUAAAAUAAGGAGAAUAACUUGUACCACCAUAGCUAUCGCUAGGAACACUCUCACUACACAUCGAUGGUGUGGAACUAGAGCACAUUGCACUAUAUGCAUCAUAAAGCUCAUUCAACAAAUCUUUCACUGCUUUGGUCAUUUCUUCAACUUUCGAACCAUCAUUGGCAAAAAUGAUCUCAAAAAUAUGUUUGGCAAAAUCCAUUUUAACUCGUGGAUCAAGAAUAGAGACAACAAUUAACAUUUUAUUUAUUUUCCCUGAAGACUCCCAAUAUUUAUCAAAAUUUUCCCUCAUUUGAUAAGCCAUAGCCACCACCCAAGGAUCUUUACUUCCCUCUAAUGCAGUUAAUGAGCUCUCAAUUAAGCCAAUGGUAUCAUAACAAAUAUUAGAAGUCACACUCAAAGAAGUAGAAAAUAACAAAGUGGCAUCAUAAAAUACCUUCAAAAACUUCACAAUUCGCCCUGCACUCUCCCAAUCCUCAGGUCCAGGCGGGCCCACCCUCUUAGCGUUAUUUUCUUUCUCGAGAAAGUAUGCCUCAUAUGGUUUAUCCACCUCUGUCAUUCUAUCAAAUGCUGCUUGAAACUUCAACGCAGUCAUCAACAUUAAAUAGGUGGAAUUCCAUCUAGUAGGAUAAUCCAAAACAACCGUUCCAUUUGGACAUUUCACUUGUUGAGCACACUGUUUAAAUGCCUGUAGCCUUGUAGUGGAGGAUCUCACAUACUUCACAGCAUUCCGGAUGGCGGCAACACUAGCAUGCAAUUCAUUCAACCCCGAAACAACAAUCAAGUUCAAAAUAUGUGCACAACAACGCACAUGCAUAUACUAACCCGCCAAUACAAUUGCAUCAUCAUUCUUCCAAGUAAGCAAUUGCAUAGGCACAUAAUUAAUAACAACAUCAUUUGUACUGACAUUAUCAACAGUUAUUGCAAACAACCUCUCUAUCCCCCAAUCUUGUAAACAAGCUACAAUCUUUUUACCGAUCGUUUUUCCUCUAUGAUCUUCAAUCACACUGAAACUAAUAAUUCUUCUGUUCAAACACCAAUCACUAUCAAUAAAAUGAGUUGUGAUCACCAUGUAACUCAUGUUUUGAACAGAAGUCCAUAAAUCAGUGGUAAGAGACACUCGUUGUUUGUUGUUGCAAAUCAAACUCUUCAACAUUAUUUUUUCUUCCAAAAAUAAAUCCAUGACAUCCCUACCAAUAGUUCUCCGAGAUGGCAUAACAAACUGCGGAAUGGCUACACUACAGAAGUGCCUGAACCCUUUGUUAUCCACAAAACUAAGUGGCAACUCACCCAUAAUGAUCAUUUUGGUGACUGCCCUUCUACAAGCGUCUUGACUCCAACCUUUCGCCAAAACCAUAUUACUUGCAUUUCCUUCCCCACCCUCAGUUGUCAAGUUUUGUUGACUUCCCUCUUGUUGUUCCCGGAAUGUCUUGUAUGCAAGGCAAGCCAGUAUAUGAUUUCUCAUAUUUGUAAUCUCAUCACGCCUUGAAUGACAUUGAUAUUGUCUACCACAAUAGUUGCACUUGCAUUUGUUUGGAUUGUCCUCAAGCAAAGUAAAAUGAUUCCACGUCGCAGAUCUUUUCUUCAUCGCUGGUCUUUUCCGCUUUGCCUUUUGAGUUCCUUCCAUUUGAACACUUUGAUUGUCAUCAUCACUUAUUGAAUUCGAUCUUGAGUGUCCAGACAUCUAAACAUACAAAUAAAUAAUUACUAAUCAUUAAUUCAUAAAUUAAAACACAAAAAGACUAUUAAAAAAAAUCUACUUAAUAGUUAGUAUUACAAAUUGAUUCAAAUAAUUGUUAAUUUAAUUUUAUGAAACUUUUUGAAAUCGAUAUUUCCAAUUUUCCACCAUAAUGUUUAUAUAUGAUCAAGAAUUCAAGAUGCAUAUUCCAUAAAAGAAAACCAAGAAAUUAAUGUAAUUAUUUAAUUUAUAAUAUCUAAUUAUCCAUUGGCCAAAAUAAUAUAAUAUUAAUUCAUAUCCGUAUCUUAAAUUCUUAAUUCUUAUUAUGCCCACAUUAUAUGUACUUAACCACUUAAUAUUUACUUAUUGGUUAAUGGUUAUCAUGCAAUUAAUUAAAUUGAUUAAUUAUUUGUUGAAGUUGAAACUUAAAACUACUGCAAUUAAAUUGGUUAAUUUUUUGUUGAAGUUGAAACUAUUGUACAAAUACACAUAUCAUAUGACAUAUAUAAUUAUAAUUUAUAUUGUAACAUAAUAUUUAAUUUUAAUUUUUAAUCUAACAUUACUAUUCAUACAAAAAAUCAAUUAUUAAUUAAUAACAGAAAAUUAAUGCCAGAUUAUUUUCAUUUUAUUGAUAAAAUUUAACAAUAUAUAAUUAACAUACAAAGUUACAAUUAACAUUUCUCAUAUAACAUAUAACAAAUAAAAAUUAUAAUUAAUCAUUAAUGCAUAUAUAAUUAUAUAAUAUAUACUAAUACCAUCUCUUAAAUAACUUUGAUGUCUUGCUGAUUCGGGCUUUAAGCCUUCAAGUUCCAAUUCCAAACUUCCAAGUUUUCCAACUUCCAAUUCCAAAACAGAGAGUGAAGAGAGUCAGAGACCUUUUGAGACUGGAGGCUGGAUCCGUGACCCGUGAGGCGUGACCGUGAAUAGGUGUGGUGGCCGGAUGUCAACACUUAACAGCCGUGACCCGUAGAUGCCAAUGGUGGAGACUCGAGUGGAUUAGAAGCAGCUUGCUGGGUGGAUCUUCAAUCAGACUGAGUUAUGGUGGAGUGGAGGAUUCAAGGCAUGGAUCCGGCGCUUGGUUGCAGCAGAUCUGUAGAUCGGGUCACGAUCUUCGCGAAUCAGCUUCGGCUUCGGUUGGGGUCGUUCUCGGAAGUGGUUGCUGGCUGCGUGUGGUGGUCGGUUGAAGCUAGCUCCGUGAACUGUGCGUGUGUGUUUGCUGCGUGUGGUGAGCGAUGAAGGCCGUGACGCCGUGAGGCAUGAAUGAGUGUGGGACUAUGGGUUGGCUGCUGCCUGCUUGUGCUUGACGGCUGCUGGUUUCAGUGAUUUGUGUGUGACAAUGAGGGUUUGUGAAUUGUGAUAGUGAUACCGUGAGUGAGGGUUUGUGACUGUGAGUUGUUACUUGUUACUUUGCUUCGCUUGUGUUGUUUUCUUGGUGAAUUACUGAAUUGUUUUGUAACUUUUGUUGUGGUGAAUAGUUUGAAGUGAAUUCCUGAAUUGUUUUGUUGCGGUGAAUACUUUGUGAAAUGUGAAUUACUGAAUUGAAUUGUGAAUUACUGUAAAUCUGUGAGUUUGUACUCUGUACUGUGAUCUGUAUUCUGUUUCUGUGAGAGUGUGAGUUACUGAUUCAGUGCCUGUAUUCGUGUGAGAUGUGAGUGUGUCAUGUGUGUGUCUGUGUGAUAUUGUAAGUGUAAAUCUGUAAUUUUUGCCCAAGUUUUUUUUUUGUCUCAACCCGAUCGGGUUUUCGGAUCGGAUCGGGUUGAGACAAUUUCACCCGAUCGGGUUUUGUUGACCACCCGAUCCGAUUUGAACCCGAAUUUUUUCGGAUCGGGUCGGAUAAUUUGCCCACCCCUAGUAUUAUAUAUAUUAUAGAAAAAUUAAACGGUUGCUAAAGAUUAUUAUACUGUUUUAUUUAAUGGGUGGGUUAUUUUUAACUUAAAUUUUUCACUGAAAUUUUUGAGCAAUUGAAUAAAAAAUAAAUGAUAAUCGUUAAAUAUUAUCUUGACGUUCAAUAUCUAUUAUUAGAUUGUAUGAAAUCAAUAACUUAAAAUUUGUGUCAAAAUUUAAAUAAAAAUAAACUAAUUUUUAUUUUAAUUAUUAUAAAUUUAAUUCUUUUUCAUGAUUGUUCUCUUUUCCAUCUCUUAUUUAUUAUUGCUGCUAAUUUACAAAGUCAUAUAACUUACAAACCCUCAUCAAUAUAAAAGUAAUACCCGAUAACAAAAAUAAAAAUAAAAAUUGACAGUUAAAUUAUUGGUUACAUGAAUACGAUGCGUAUUGUAACAAGUCUUUUAUUUUAAUGCAUCGUUGGAGUUUCGUCACUAUUUGAUACAAACAAAUCCACUGGACAAGCAUCUUUAAUCUUUUGACUUUUUUUCGCAUCAAAUUUGGGGGCAAAACUUCCGACCACUCAUUAAUCGUUUGGUAGUUCAAUGUGGUCCUGUGGAUAUGUCUGAUCUGAAAUUACAAGGAUUGACUAAUAAAUGCAAUAAACGGGUCAAUGCAAAGUAAGGGCUCCUACUAUAUAACACCCCUCACUUGCACAAAAAAACAGUAAUAACUUAUCAAAAAAAAAAAAAAAAAAACACAGUAAUAAGGUUUUUAAGAAAAUAAUGGUAAUACUUAAAAUUUAAGUUUUCUAGACUUUUUAUAUAGCCGCGGUGUUAGAACCUUUUUAGUGCACUUUAACUUACCAAUAAGUUUCUUGUGCACCUAUCAUUAUUUAUAAUAAUAAUAGUAAAAAAAUAAAUUGAAAUAGUAAUGACAUAAUAAAUAAAUCAACAAUAUGUAAUAUAUAUAUAUAUAUAUAUAUAUAUAUUCACUAACCCCAAGGCCAAUAAAAUUACAGUGUUCUUAAAACAAAUUUGCCACAUUCACAAUGACGCUUGAAUUAUGUUUGGGGGAAAAAUAAGAUAGCAGAAUGCCACGUGUCGACGAAUGAAAUAACUUCAGUGCGAUUCGAGGUACCCGAUAUGAUUAGAGGUACCCCGCACGAUUAGAGAUAUCUACCAUGAUUUGAGGUACCUGGCACGGUCAGAGGUACCCUGCAUAACUCCAGAGUAACUCGAGGUACCCCGCAUAGAUUGGGGUACCCCGUAUAAUUCGAGGUACCCGGAAUAACUCCAGCAUAAUUCAAGGUACCCAGAAUAACUCCAGCAUAAUUUAAGAUACCCAGAAUAACUCCAACAUAAUUCAAGGUACUCGGAAUAACUCGAGAUACCUAGCAUGAUUAGAGGUACCCGGCGUAAUUAGAGGUGUCCAGCCUGAUUAGAGGUACCCUGCAUGAUUAGAGGUACCCAGCACGAUUAGAGGUACCUGGCUUGAUUAGAGGUACCCCGCAUGACUAGAGGUACCCGGCGUGAUUAGAGGUACCCCGCACGAUUAGAGGUACCCAGCGUAAUUAGAGAUACCCCACUUAAUUCCAAAGUAACUCAAGGUACCCCACAUGGAUCGGGGUACCCCAUAUGACUCGAGGUAGCCGACAUGUCCGACUUAGGAGAAUCCUCUUAAGAAAUCCAUCAUAGGAAAUAUCUUCAUAUCUUGAAGGAUAAUAUUUGAUUUUGUCAGAAUUAUGAAUAAAAAACGUCGUGCUAAAAGGGGGGACAACCGCCUGGCACCUCUGUCAAAAGUGAAGGACAUUGUCCCAAGGACGGUGGUCCUCAGUCGCCUACGCGACAGCUACUGCAGAGGUACCCUAGACCGCUCUCCAACGCGCGCCACGUUUCCAAAGGAUGAGGUACGCCGCGAACAUGCACAUAACGGCCCAAAAAUCAUAAAAAUGUAAAAAGAAGUUAGCAAAAAAAGGUACGCCACGUGGCAGCUGAGGUAUUCCAUAUAUAAAGGUGCCUAGGUUUCAUUCUCAGGGGGGCUCUCACUCACCAUUAACACUCACACUCCAAAAAAAAAGUUUUCUUCAACCUUAAACCCUAAUUUACAGAGGGCUAGCCAGCUCUCUUUACCAUAAAAGCUUGAGUUUGCUAACUUGAGCGUCGGAGUGUGAACGCCGGGGUACCCCGACUUCACCUCUAACCUCUAUUUUACUGUUUUGCAGGCGUGAAGCUCAUUUUGAAGGACAUCUCUCUUGAUUUUGACCUUUCACCAUUGUUACCACUCCCUCUCCCCUUCUCACCUCCCCCGAAUUUCAGAUACACCGCACCGCACACAACAAACCAGUGAAGUACCCCGUCUCCCCCAAAAAUACAAAUUUAUUGUUCUAGAUAGGUUUAGCUUUUCCUACUCCAAAAUCGAUCGAAAACAAAUUAUAUAGACUUCUGUCUCUCACAGGAUACAACAGAUUUGAAAUAGUGUUAGCAGUACAAUCUCACUAUUCCCAUGAACCUCAAACAAAUAUUUCAAUUCUAUCGCAUUAAAGUCUAAAGCUAAAGAGAAUUUGCUUAAAAGAGAAGAGAAUAAAAUCACUUGGAUUUUUUUGUGUUUUUCAAUUGAACACGGAAGCCAAUAUAUAUAAGCUUCAAAAGGGGCAUCAGUUAAUUAAACAAUCUUAUGGGAUCUUUCUUUAUUUUUUCCACACCAGUGGAUGCUCCUUGAGAUCUAAUUUCUCAUUCACCCAAAUACUAAUUUGACCAUUUUAUGAUUCGUUGCGAAGAUCUCAUAGAGAAGAUUCUGAAUUAUCCAUGUAAAUAUAUUUUUUCGAUAUUUAUUUUGCUCAAAACUGGCCUUAAAAUAGGCGCUUUAUGCUAUUUUUUCUAACACAACUAAUUGCAUAAUAUAUGUAGCAAAUGGUUCUAUUAUGAUUAUUAUUAUUUUUUUUUUUUGGAAAAUGAAUUUCAUAAAUUAGAACCAAACAUUAAUAGUAUAGCUAGAAAGUCUUCCAGUCAAAUUACAAAAUUUGGACGGUUAACAAUCAUCUAUUACAAAUUUCUCUAAGAUCUUGAAUCAGCUUGUGAAUGUCUUAAAUCAUCCAUUCAAUUAAUUUUUUUUUUAAAUUUUAAAUUAUUGAUCCGUCAAGAUAUACAAAAUUGCACACGCGCGCGCACACACACACACCACAAUUACCGAUCCCGGACUAUAGAGAAAUCAAAUAAACAUGGUUAAUAUAUACAUUUUAGUCACAUAGAAUUUACCGAUAUACCAUUACAAUACCUAUUUGCCCUUCGUAUUUACAGCCAUUAGAUUGGAAUGCCUUAAAUCCGAAGACUGAUUUACAACAAGACAAAAUACUAGUGUUAGUACGUCAAACACAACAUAGCUACCCUUAGAUUAAUCGUAAGACCAGAAAUAUUCAUAUUCAAUUGAGCCGGCAGCACAUAUCAUCAGAUUAUCGAUUCAAUUUUUUUAUCCUAUUUUAAAAACUAUCUGUACAUAAUACAUCCCCCAAUGCAAAACAAAAGCGUAUGGGCGGCUCGGAAUCCCUCCAAAGUCCAACCAUUCAAUGGAAUCAUUCAUUUGUUUAGUUUACUUCGGAGUUAAAAUAUAGAUAAUCAUAGUCAUCCAUUUGUUGUACCUUUUUUUUUUUUUUCUCUCAAUAAGAUUCGUUGUAGUUUUUAAAUACAAUAUAAUUUAUUUUUUAAAUACAAUAGAAAUUUAUGGAAUUUUUUGAAUCACCUAUACGGCACCAUUGUUUGAAAAUAUAAAAACAAAUUGGAUUUCCUCUAAAUAUUAAAAAAAAAAAAAAGAAAACUCGCAAAUACACACGGAAUAACUCCAACCACUCCCUCAAUUCCCAUGUGAGAAACAAGCAAAUUGAUUUGGCAUUGAGCCAUUUUGGGCUUAAUGGACUUGGAUUAUGAUGGCCCAUCUUAUUUUACAAUUGGAUUGACUUUGUAGCUGAUGAAUGAGGUCAAAAUGGCCUACAGAUUGUUUAAUUACCAAAACUGGAAAUAAAAACCCCACGUUGUACAAUUUCAAAAACUAGCAAGUAAAUCUGUCAAUAGAUAUAUCAAAAUAUCCGCCAAUGGUAACGAUAAUUGUAAUGGCUCGUCUCUAUGUCUUGAUUAUCCUAUCAACGAUAUUUACAUGCCAUGCAACAUGGGCUAUGGCCAAGGAGGAGAUUCGUGGGGCAGGGUCGGAGCGGCUGAGUUCAUUGACACGUGAGCUGCUGGGCUCAGCGGGGGAGCCCGAGUUCUUCGAAUGGAUGAAGAGAAUUCGGAGGAGAAUACACGAGAAUCCGGAAUUGGCUUUUGAAGAAUACGAGGCGGGGCAACUCGUCAGAAAUGAGCUUGCCUCGCUUGGAAUUGAGUACACGUGGCCGUUUGCUAAGACUGGGAUUGUGGCUUUCGUGGGGUCAGGGGUCCAGCCCUGGUUCGGUCUUAGAGCUGACAUGGACGCCCUUCCAAUCCAGGUUUCACGCUUUUUAAAGCCCAAAACGUCAAAUCCUGUGGCCAAAAGUAAAAAGUGUUGUUGAAAUUUCAAUUAUUGCUUUCAGUUUAUAACUUCAGCCAUGACUACUCUUUUGUUUUUUGUUUUUUAUUCCUUCUGGGAAUAUCCUACCUUCAAAUCAUUCUUUUUGUUUUUCAAAACCUCAAAUUUUGAACAUAGUUAAUUGAAGAUAAAAUAAUUUAAAAUUAAUUCUUUAGAAAUAUUACUCACUCAAAAAAAAAAUUAAAAGAUGUCAAGACUAAAAUAUUUGAACAAUUAUUUCUGCUGUAUGCGUGUAUCAUUAUUGAUAGUAUAAAUAAAUAAAUUGUUUAAAUUUUUGAAAAGUGAAAGAAAUUAUAAAAAUAAAUAUGUGGGACAUGUGAUGCUUUUUUAUCCGACAUUUGUGUUAGGUAAGCUGCCAACUUAAUUUAUAUUUUAAAAAAAAAUUGUUUGUCAACUGUUUGUAAAAAUCUAUUAACGUGACAAGUUGCAAUUGGAAAUGUAUGUGAUAUUACUCAAACACAAGUCAAUAAUCUUACUCGCCAUUGCUAUUUGAGAAGGAAAUGGUGGAGUGGGAGCAUAAGAGCAAGAACAAUGGUAAAAUGCAUGCUUGUGGGCAUGAUGUUCACACAACAAUGCUGCUUGGAGCAGCUAGGCUACUUAAACAAAGAAAAGAUAGAUUAAAGGUAAAUUCAUAAACACACAAACAUCUCAGAGCAAAGAUGAAAAAUUCAAAAAUUAUAUCUGCACUCGAAUUUGCCACUUUGUUUUGAUUGAUUUGCGUUAUACAAAUUUCACUUCAAAGGGCACUGUUAAGCUUGUCUUCCAACCUGGAGAAGAAAGUUAUGGCGGGGCGUACCAUAUGAUAAAAGAGGGUGCUCUUGAAAAGUUUCAGGGCAUUUUUGGAUUGCACGUUGCUCCAGAACUGCCCACUGGUACAAUUGGUUCAAGACCUGGUCCUGUGCUAGCUGGUUCCAUGAGGUUUCUAGCCGUAAUUGAAGGAAAAGGUGGCCAUGCCGCAAUGCCCCAUGCAACUAGAGAUCCAGUUCUUGCAGCAUCCUUUGCAAUCCUUGCACUCCAGCAGAUAGUUUCGAGAGAGACAGAUCCUCUUGAGGCCAGGGUAAAAAUUGCUCCUGACUUUAGUACACAUGCGAUUCUUUAUAUAUGACUUAUUUGUGAAUUGAUUUGUCCAUUCAAAAGGUACAAAAAUCUACAUCUACCGUCCCAAUUACAUGUUGUCCUCAGUAGAAGCAGAGUUCUUAGUUAUUAAUCCUUUUUCAACCGUACACAGCUAGUCUCAGUUGGGUUCAUUGAGGCAGGCCAGGCGGGAAAUGUAAUCCCAGCGAGUGUCCGAUUUGGAGGAACUUUGCGGAGCAUGACUACAGAAGGUCUGUUUUACCUUCAGCGAAGGGUCAAAGAGGUAUGCAUUACUUGAGGUUUCGCGGGAAAGAAUAAAAUGUCAGAUCUUCUCAAGGAUUUUCUCGUAGUCUGAUUCAUUCAUUUUGUGCAAAAGGUUCUAUAUAGUGUUCGUGAUUUUCAAUGCAAUUUGUGGUUUCAUGGUGUAUAAAUUUAUACCCAAGACAUUGUUUUAAAGAAAAUUCAAAUAGAAAACACACUGAAGCUUAGGGAUACUAAUGGACUGAAUUUUUUUUUUUGCCCAAGAAAAGAAAGGAACGGCCUAAGAUUUUCUUUUCAAGACUAUAUGUGAUUAUUUGAACGUAUUUUUGUUCCCAGGUCAUAGAAAUGCAAGCAGCAGUUCAUCAAUGUAGUGCCACAUUAGACUUCAUGGAGGAAAAACUGAGGCCUUAUCCGGCAACUGUCAACGAUGAAGAGAUGUAUGAGCACGCAAAGAAGGUAGGAACCUCCUUGCUCGGGGAAGCAAACGUGCACCUUCUUCCAAUGGCGAUGGGAGCAGAGGACUUCAGUUUCUACUCACAGAAGAUGGCGGCUGCACUUUUCAUGAUCGGGACAAGGAAUGAAACGCUCAAGCCAGUCGUCAGACUGCACUCACCGUACUUAGUAAUCGAUGAGGAUGUUCUCCCAAUAGGAGCAGCUCUUCAUGCUGCUGUUGCCAUCUCUUAUUUGGACGACCAUGCUGUCGAAACUCAAUAGGAAACCUGGUAUCUUCAAAAGGGACGGUUAUUGUAUUUGUAAAUACUUAUAUUUUUUCCAUUUUUAAUUCGCGCUGCGCACCCACUCAAGCUUGAUUCCAGGACCUUAGCCUAAGAAGGCUGAUCCUUACCGCUAGCGUUGAUCCUAGACUUCAAAAUACUUCGCUCUAAAUCUUCCUUACUAUACAAUAAAAGCCUUCUUGAAAUGAAAAUUAUUAAUAAAUAAUCACCAGAUGUACAAUUCUAAGAUUUUAGACAUCCCAACUUUGGAGGAGUUGAAAUUUCAAUGAUCCGAGGUUAAUGAGAGUAUGGGACUUAUAGGUUACUGCAAUCUGCCUUUUCUUUUUUAUUUUCUGAGGGUUUACAAUAAAAACAGAAUUUUAAAUGCAUCCAUUCGAUGUAAUGACACGCGUACAUAUCAGAGUUGGGUCGGCCCAUAUCAUUGAUAAUUGGCAUUCGGCUUCCAGCUAAACACGAGUUCUAUGACAAAACCGACGCUGGAGAGUGUAGCGUACAGAACUGAGAAAAUUUUAAUUUUAUAAAUAGAAAAUUCAAGCUAUUUUGUACCGCAAAUUUUUCACAAAAUGUAUCUAAUGCUAUUGGCUCGUCUCUGUCUUUUGAUUAUCGUAUCAACGAUAUUUACAUGCAAUCCCACAUGGGCCAAGAAGGAAACUCAGUCGGGAUCGGAGCAGCUGAGUUCGUUGACUCGGGAGCUGUUGGACUCAGCGAGGGAGCCCGAGUUCUUUGAGUGGAUGAGGAGGAUUAGGAGGAGAAUACACGAGAAUCCGGAGUUGGGUUUUGAAGAGUACGAGACGAGCCAACUCGUAAGAUCGGAGCUUGACUCGCUUGGGAUUGAGUACACGUGGCCGGUUGCCAAGACUGGGAUCGUGGCUUCAGUGGGUUCAGGGGGUGAACCCUGGUUCGGUCUUAGAGCUGAGAUGGACGCCCUGCCUAUUCAGGUUUCACUUUCAGACAAACAUUUUGACUUCUGUUCGAAAAAAAGAAAAAAAAGAAAAAAAAAUGUUGUAAUAUAAAAUGCUGAUCCUCUUUCUUGUGUAUUAGUGGCGCUAUCUUUAGUCUUUUAUUGCUAAACAAAAACUCUAUGUAAUCUUAUUCAACAUUCACUAUUUGAAAAGGAAAUGGUAGAGUGGGAGCAUAAGAGCAAGAACAAUGGUAAAAUGCAUGGUUGUGGCCACGAUGUUCACACAACCAUACUGCUUGGGGCAGCUAGGCUACUCAAACACAGAAUAGACAGAUUAAAGGUAAAUUCAUAAUCACACAUGCUUCUUAUAGAACAAAUGUGAUACAUUUCUCAAUCAGUUUGUUGUUGACUGAAUCACCUUGCAAUCAUUUCACCGCAUAGGGCACGGUUAAGCUUGUCUUCCAACCUGGGGAAGAAGGUUAUGGCGGCGCAUACUAUAUGAUAAAAGAAGGUGCUGUUGAUAAGUUUCAGGGCAUGUUUGGAAUACAUAUUUCCCCAGUACUGCCCACUGGUACAAUUGGCUCAAGACCUGGUCCUUUACUAGCUGGUUCUGGGAGGUUUACAGCCGUGAUUAAAGGAAAAGGUGGACAUGCCGCCAUGCCCCAAGAUACCAGAGAUCCUGUUCUUGCAGCAUCCUUUGCCAUCCUCACACUCCAACAUAUAGUUUCAAGAGAGACAGAUCCUCUGGAGGCCAGGGUAAUAUUCGUUCCAAUUUCAUAUGCCAGCUUGACUAUCAGCAUUCUGUAAGGUUGUGAUAUUAUCUUCUUAUAAGCAAAUUUAUAUGCCUACACAGGUAGUCACAGUUGGGUUUAUUGAUGCGGGCCAAGCAGGAAAUAUAAUUCCUGAGACCGUGAGAUUUGGAGGCACUUUCCGGAGCUUGACUACAGAAGGUCUGUUAUAUCUUCAGCAAAGAAUCAAAGAGGUAAAAUUAUUUGAGGUUGCAUAUCAAUGAUACAAUGUAUUUCUUGGCAGUAUUUGCAUAAUAUAAUUCAUCAAAUUCGCAUGAGCUCUAAAUAAUAAUGAUUUACUUCAAAUGUAGCUGAAAGAGUAGACUCCCUUUCAAGGCUGUGAUCUUUUUUUUUUUUUUUAUUACAUGAGAUUAUUGUUCAAGAGUACAACUCAGAGUAGACUCCCUUUCAAGAGUGUGAUCUUUUUUUUUUUAAUUACAUGAGACUAUUGUUUAAGAGUACAACUCAUAUUUGGAACUAGUUUACCUCAAUAUUCUUAUGAAGCCCGUCCAAAUUUUUACCGUCCAUUCAAAAUUUUACCCUCUCUAAUAUUCGAGGGACGUCUACUGCCUUCACUCAAAUUAAGGAAGAAAAUUAAACCCCCACACUGCAUUGUGGGGACUCAAACCCAUGACCUAACAAUUGUGAGGUAUGGGUUCUAACCACUAGGCUUGUUGGCUGUGAUCAUAUUUUUAAAUCAAGAUAAUAGCACUCAUUGUUAACAGGUCAUAGAAAUGCAAGCAGCAGUUCAUCAGUGUAGUGCAACAAUAGACUUCAUGGAGAAAAAAAUGAGGCAUUAUCCGGCAACUGUAAAUGAUGAAAAAAUGUAUGAACACGGCAAGAGGGUCGGGGCAUCCAUGGUUGGAGAGCCAAACGUGCAUCUUACUCCAGUUGAGAUGGGAGCAGAGGACUUCAGCUUCUACACUCAGAGGAUGCCAGCUGCACAUUUUUAUGUCGGUACAAGGAAUGAAACGCUUAAGCCAUUCAUCCGACUGCACUCCCCGUACUUAGUUGUUGAUGAGGAUGCCCUUCCUAUUGGAGCAGCUCUUCAUGCUGCAGUAGCCAUCUCUUACCUGGACAACCUUGAAGUUGAAGUACAAUAGGAAUGGUGUGUCUUCACUCCCCGUACUUAGUUGUUGAUGAGGAUGCCCUUCCUAUUGGAGCAGCUCUUCAUGCUGCAGUAGCCAUCUCUUACUUGGACAACCUUGAAGUUGAAGUACAAUAGGAAUGGUGUGUCUUCGUAAGAGAGUUUUAUAUUUGAACUAGUAAAAAAGAAUUGUAUAUUUAAAUCCAGUGGUAUUUCAAUGCCCUCCUUGUAAUAAUAAACCAUCUGGAAAUGAAAAUUAUUAAUAAACACCAAAAAAAAAAAAAAAUUCAACCGCACACAUGCUUUUACUUUUUGAGAUUGGGGUAAAGAAAGACAGUCAUUGCACAUUUGCACUCACCUUAAUUUAUCGUGAAUUUAUGAUGAAGAGGCUCUAGCAUAACAUUAACCAAUCCGUUGAAACUGAAUAGAAACAUGCCAAGAACAUCAACGUAAAACCAAAAAGAAUUGCAUGAUUGCUUCAGUUUAUAGAGGAAGUAAAUACAUGAUGAGGCGCUACAAGAAUAAAGAAACAGAGAUGUGAUCAACUGAUCUUACAGAUUGACAGGAUAUACAUGAUCUUCAGAAAGGUUGACCUCUAAAAACUAGCAAAUCAAAAUGUAUCUGAUUUUGGGAAAGCCAACCGCAGCUGUAGAGAAUAUGCAAAGAAUGUCAGACUUUUGAACUAAAGCGAACUGCAACCAGGUAUUUUUCUAAGCCCCCUCUCCUUCAUUUUGCUUCUAACAAGAGAGACAUCCAACCACCGAUCUGCAGUUGCAUAGAUGUUGGAUAACAGCACAUAACUACCAGCAUUUUGUGGCUCGAGCUCAAAAAGCCGGUUUGCGACCAAUUCUCCUAACUCAAUGUCUGAAUAUAACUUACAGGCCCCAAGGAGUGCACCCCAGGCACUUGCAUGAGGCUCCACGGGCAUUGAAUUUAAAAGCUCAUAAGCCGAUUUCAAGUGUCCGGUCCGGCCAAGAAGAUCAACCAUACAUGCAUAAUGCUCAGGAGAAGGAACAAUAGCAUACACGUUUUGCAUGGCUUCAAAAAAGCGCCAACCAUCCUCAACAAGUCCAACAUGACUACAAGCAGUCAACACAAUUGUGAAGGCCACCUCAUCAGGAGUCAGCCCUUCACUUAACAUUCUAUCGAAGAGGGAAACAGCCUGUCUGCCAUGCCCGUGUAUCGACAAUCCUUUUAUCAUGGAACAAUAUGAUACCACGUCUCUAUUAGGCAUUGUUUCAAAUAACUCGGCCGCUCUAUCCAUAUUCCCACACUUAGCAUUCAUGUCUACAAGUGCUGCAAUAACAUGAGCUCGGCUAAGAUCCAUGUGACUUCUACUCAAAUAAGAAUCCACCCAGUUGGACAAAUCCAAAUUGCCCACCUGAGAACACGCUGACAUCAAGCUCACCAAUAUAAACUCAUCUGGCUGGACGUUCUUUGAACACAUAUCCGAAAAUAUCUUCACAGCCUCAUCAGGCUGACCAUUCUGUGCAUACCCUGAUAUCAAGGCUGACCAUGCAACAACAUCUCUAUCAGGAGCUGCCUCAAACAAGGACCUUGCUGACGUCAUAUCACCCACUUUCGCAUAUCCAUCAAUCAUUGUGGUAUACGAUACCACAUUCCUCUCGGGCAUUUCAUCAAACAACUGCCUAGCACUUCUCAAAUCUCCUAUCUUCACUAACCCCCCAAUCAAAGCAUUCCAUGAAACAUUACUCCUCUCCGGCAUUAAAUCAAAAACCGUCUUCGCUUCCACCAAAUCCCCAACACUCGCAUAUCCAACAAUCAUCGCUGUCCAUGAAACAACAUUUCUCUCAGGCAUUUCAUCGAACACUUUACGGGCGCAAGAAAUCUCUUUACGUUUCCCAUAUAAGUCAAUCAAACUAGUUCCCACAAACACAUCCUCAUCAACCCCCCACCUAAUUACAGCAGCGUGAAUCGCCGUUCCUUCCCUCACACUAAGCACAUGCGAACACGCCUUAAUUACCAAUGGGAACGUAUACUUAUCAGGCACCGCUUCCUCUCUAAUCAAUCGAACAAAAAUCGUAAAAACCUCAAUAAAACGAGAAUUCUGAGAGUACCCUUUUAAGAGGGUGUUCCAAAGAAAAGUAUUGGGAUUGACAAUGCGAUUGAAGACGGCGGAAGAGUAAGAUAAGGGAGUGGCGAGGGAGUGACACAGCGAGAUGAAGUGGGCAACGAGAGAGUGAUCUUGGUCGAGGCCCUUUUUGAUGAUGUGAGAGUGAACCUGGUGGAGGUGAGUUUGGAGUUUGCACUUCUUUAUCAGGGUUAAAGCGGAAAGGAGACACGAUGGUUUUGGGAAGUUGAUGGGCGCUGAUCGUGAGCAGUUAGGUAGCAUCGAAGAGCAGGACUUGUGCUUGCAUGGCGUGUUUGGUUCGUCAAUUUUGGGCAUUGGAGUUAGUCAGUUAGCUCUCCCUCGCGGGAUAGUUGCCCACUGUCCCCGCCAUUGUAGCACGUGUGCCGCCAGCCCAGAACAUAAGGGUGGUCUACAUAAUUGUAAUGAUUCAAUGGGUGAUAGUACUCGCACUUUAUGGUGGGUAACAGAAUUCUAUGGCUUCUAUAUGCUUACAAUAUAAUAGGCAGUAAUGCUCAACAAAUCAUCUUCAUUCAAGUACAAAUUUGACUUUUAGUUACCCAGCUGAAAGACUAUCUUCGAAAAACUCUAUAAAUUUUAUUCUUUAAAUAUUUAUUUGUUUACAUACGUGAUAAAUAGAAGAGUAAAAAAAUAUUUUAUUCUAUUCUUUAAAUAGAAAUGAGUUAAUAUUAUUUUAAUUAAAAUAAUUAUUUUUUAAAGAAAAAAUAAUAGUAAUUAAAGUGCUUCUUUCUUUUUCUGUAAUAAAAAAUAAUAAAAUAUAAAUUAAAGAGAGAUAAAGUAAUUCUUUAAAUUUAAAGAGAGGGGAUCAAUUCUUUUUAAAAAAAAAUUUAAUUAAAAUAUUUUUUAGAAUCUUAAAUAUUAAUGUGUCUCUUUAAAUAAGUAAUAAAAUCAUAUUUAAAAAAUUUUACGGUGAAACUUUAACUCGGACACAUGACAAAAUUCGUUAGAAAUUUGACAAUAAGGUGAAUCUUUCGUCUCAUUUUGGAGCCCAAUGUGGCAGAGGCCCAAAAAUUUACUUCACUGUCGCAGUGCCGCUCGCCGAACCAACAAACAAAAAGCAGCCAAGUGACGUUGCGAAGACGGCAGGCUGAAGCGAGGAUUGAUUAGUACAGUAACUAGCGACUUGCCACCACCAGCAGAAUGGUAGUGUGGUCAUACCCACCAACGCGCAAGCAACUAGCCAUGUCAAUCGCGUUUUUCAUCACCGGCGUUUCACUAUUUACCGCCGGCGCUUACCUGUCCCUGGUCAACGUCGCCCCACAGCAAGCUCGCGCUAAAGCCCGCAAAGAUUUCGUCAAGGCCCGUCUCAGAAAGCUCCUCGACGAUUAGCAAACUAAUGUUUUUGCUUAUUAACGCUCAUCCACUAAUGGGUAUGUCCUUUGAUUGUAUAGUAUUCUAUUGUAAUUGCAUUACUUGUGUCGAAUUGAAUCAUGGGUUGUGUUUGGUUGGCUAAAAAUUGAAUCUUGUUUAUGAUAAUGAAAAUUUUGAAAUCUUCAGCAAUAGAUGAUUGUCUCAAUUUUCUUGUUAAAUGUAGAAGUUGAAUGUAAUGGAGAGUUGGUGUACAAUGAAUCAAUUAGAUUUUAUUUGACAAAUUCUGGGUUAUAUACACUCGGUGGAUCACUGAAACACUUGUACGUUUUGGCAUAAGCUUUAUCAUUAUUGAUCAUUUAGGCCUCACUUCAAUGCCUUCAAUCACAAGCCCUCCUUUCAAUUGGUAACCCUUUAUCUCCCUUAAACUCAUCUUCACUUCUUGAUCACCUUCUUCGUCACCACUAAAGAACUCUCCCAAUUCAAUCUCCAUCCAACCAUCAUCUCUUUCUCUAGCAAACCUUUCAUCCCCUUCAAUUACUCUUGACUUCGUCCUCUGAGUCCGGUUGCCGUAAAACAAACACUCCAUUUGAUGUUUCUUCUUGUCUUUGCAACUCAAAUAGGCUGUGUUAGCAGAUAUUAUUUGAUUUCCCAUUUCUAGGAAUGUGUCUGACGGUAAUAAAUCCAACCCAUGUGCACGGUGGGUGAUGUUAAUCAAAAGAUAAGCUCUGUACAUUGUGUUUGGUGACAACAUAUGAGUUCUGAUCUUCCCUUCAAUCUCCAACCAACUAAUCAUUCUUAGUUCAGCCACCUCUAGGAACCUGGAAGCAAAAAUGUGCAUGUGUCUGUUUUACUAGUUUUGAAAUAAAAUAAAAAUAAGCAAACAUAAAGCAUGCAUGCAUAUGCAAAAGUUAACCUUGAUUUUAGGGAAGGUUUCCAGCUCCAAUACUCUGGCCUAUCACUCCAUGUAAUUGAAAGCUCCCUUGAAGACAAUACAUAGGAUUUUUUGCCAGAUGAUUUAUCCAAUUUGAAGCUCUGCAUUUUGUAUGCUUUUGUUGUAAAAUAAACAAUAUAGGAGAAAAGAAUUUAACUCUUGGAUCAAAGAGUUGUUGAUUACUUUAAAAAAAAUACAAAUAUCUGGAGAAUGGCUAUAAAAUUGGCGAACCUUUCUACCGCCGUCUAUGAGAAUGGGAUUACAAAGAUGAAGAUAAAGCUCUUUCUUUGAAGAGAACUUUAGAGAAGUGAUGGAUCUUGAUACAAUAUCUUCAUAAUCCGACGGCAAGAAUUUCUCCCAAGCAACAUUAGACUCGGCCGCUGACCGGAACGCCCGUGAAACCAACGUAGCCCUGCAUGCAUCUAAUGGAGAAGUGAGCGAGAUGAUGAUAGAAACACAAUCUUCAGGCAACAUAUUCAGCUCAAUACACCUGGAAUAUUCUUUUUGUACCGGCAAGAAUCUUAAACAAAAGGAAAUUUAUCUGUGCGUUUUAAGUUUCCCAUUCUAUAUAGGUAGCAUAUAUAAGUUGAGUUGAGUUGGAACUGUUGUUAGAGAUAAUAUUGUUCGUGAAAAAUUUGACAAUUUGCACAACUUCCGCUAAAACGAUUCGAGGUCAUAAUUCCAGUUGACGCCAACAAGAUUCUUAUACCGUGGAUUGACUUAACAUUGGUCAUUUAUCUGUCAAAAUAAUAUAUUUAAUCCAAACAAUAGUAAUAACGAUUUGCACAACUUUCAUUGAAACAAUCGAACUCACAAUCUGAUAAUUCCAGUUGACGCCAACCGGAUUAUUUGGUCAAUAUUGGUGUCUGCCCGUGGAUUGACUUCAUAUUGGUCAUUAAGCUUUCAAAUAUAAAUCUUAUAAUGGAGCUUGCUAACUUACAGAUUAGGGCUGUACCUCACAGAAUCUGUAAGUUAGCCCUCUCCUCUUAUAAUAUAUCAAAUUCAAACAACAGUAAUAGAUUUAUAAAAUUUUGGUAUCUUUUAUUAAAAAAAAAAUCACAAAAUAUGACACUAAUCAUUAACAAUUAUAUGUUACGUAGUUAAUCACUAUUCAUAUCAUCAAUGUUGAAUAAUAUGGCGACUGUGUUGCAGUAAUUAAUGAGAGACGUCCCAAGAGCUGGCAUCUAAGGAGAACACAUUUUAGAUAUAAUUUACUUGGUGUUAGAAUUGAAUAAUAUAGUGUGCUUAAGCUGCAUUUGAGUUAGGAUCAAAGGUAAAUAAUGAUUAAAACCUAAAAUAACUGGGUGCAGGAUUUGCAUGAAUGGUACCUUUUCACAGUAAAAAAUUUGGCUCUGAUUACAACAUUUAAUGAGAUAACUAAUACAUGGCACAACACACACACGUAUUGUGAUAUUGAAAUAUAAAUUGAAUUGGGUAUUGAUCGAUUUCCCUAACUAAUAGUUUGAUUAAUGAUCGAUUGUAUGAUUACGAGAAACUAAUUAUUGAUCGUAAAUAUUAGAAUUAAAUAAUAAUAAUAAUAAGCUAUCGUGUUUGAAGUGAUUGCUUAUUAUUUCACUCCAAGUAUAUAUCUCAGCUUUGCAACUGACAUUAAGAAAGUUGACAAAGCGGCAAUCUUCCUGCUGACAUGUGGUAACAUCUUAAACUUUGGCUUAACAAUCAUAUUUUAUGUUUUUGAAGGUCGCAUCUUCUAAAUCUCGCAUAUGGACUCUUGGUGCCUGAACGUUGCAGACUUGCAGCUAUGUUUUCUCUCUAAAUUUAUCAGGAUUUUAGCCGAAAUUUGAGAAUAUGAUUCUUUGUUGGAAGGUAAAGGGUGUCCUGAGAGGCUUACAUGAACAAAGCAGGGAAGAGGAACACAGAACAGGCAGCUACCUUAGACUUGCAGCAUAAUUAUAGGUUAUACUAGAAGUUUUUGUACAGGAGAUACUUCAUCCGGUUGGCACAUCUCGCAACAAGAACUCUAUAAACGCAAACGUUUCUACAAAUUGAUGAGACAAACUGAUAUGCAGCGAGCAAUUGCUGCAAUCUUAGCGGAUUUAAGGGAUGGCACGCAAAGCAUUAAUGAAAACAAAAAGGACAAUUCACAGUCUAGGCAUCUCACAAUUGACUAGCCUUGCCUCUGAGAUACCCUCAUCCAUUUCGAAUCUCUUGUUGCAAGUCGGAUGGCUCAGGGGGAUUGAGAAGAAAGCACAAUAGAAAUGCAUGUCACCACCUGGAUUUUCUUGCAUUCUGGCUUUCACCUCUGGACUCUGAUAGCCUCGACUUUGAAACACCCGCUGGCACCAUAGGAGGUCGCUCAUGAGCUGCAUUGCCAUGAUCUCGCAAAGGCCGCGUCGGACUAGCAUAAACCCUUGAAGCACCAAUCCUAGAACUUGACAACAAUUGGUCCUUAAGACCCUUUGCUGAUUUAUACCCAUGCAUUUCAUCUCCGUAACCUAAUACUUGAGCUUGCUUAUCUAGAUCUGAUUGUCUUCCCCAAUGCAAGUCAUCUCCCGCAUUUUGGAGUCUUUCAGCUUGGCUGCCCCAAUCAACUCCAUCUGAUAUGCUUCUCUGCAGAGUAGUGCUUCUCUUGGAUAGUUUGCCAGAGGUUGACUUUCUCCCCUUGAUUUCUUCUUCGUCAAAUGGAACCUUUCUUGAAUCAAGAGCAGCUCCAGGAGCAUAAGCCCAAUUGUAGAUCUUGUUAUUAUUGUCCAUAUUUAAUUCAAUGGAAUGAAGAUCACUUUCAGCCGAGUCUUCUUCAUAUUCUACUCCAUCUUCUACUUCUCCAUCAAUAUCAUCAUUCUCUUCAGUCGGAUUGGAACCAAAAUGGCUUCUACUUAAAUAAGCCGCAAUCUCCUCACUGGUUGGUUGAUUUACAGAACUGCGUCCUUUUUCUUUUGCCUUUUUGGUUCCUAGAAAAACUUCAAGCUGACUCCUCAAUUUAUCAACUGCAGCAUUUUUUUCUUCAAGCUGAUAUUUAGCCUCUGAGAGUUUGAUUUGAGCUCUCUCUUCACGCAAUACAUCAGCUACCUGCAUCAUCCCCCUUUCCUUCUCAACCUCUUCAAGAGCUAUGGCAGACUCUCUCUUAAGUUCUUCCACUUCAGAUUUAUCAUCAUUGAUAUCCCUGGCUAACUCAUCACAUACUUGUUCAAUUACUACUCUUGCUCUCUUCUCAGUAUCAAGAUCUUUCACCGCCUUCAGAAGGGAAUGCUUAGUCUCAGCUAGUUCUUUCCCGAGCUUCUUGUUUAAGCUUUCAAACCUUCUCCUCAGUUUCCUUUCUACCUCAAGUUCUCCUGCAAUAGAUUCAAUAGCAGCCCCAACCACUUCCCGCUCCUUGUUUUUCCAUGCUGCCUUUUCUUCAGCAAAACACUUCAUUAGAUAGCUGAUCUCACUUUGGUCUGAGCGCUGUUCUUGGAUAAGUUGGUUCACUUGCAGGCGAGCCCUCUCAAGCUCAGCAUGUAAGGCUGAGACAAGAGACAUGCUCGAAGAAGGCCGAUCUUCUUGACCCCACAUGCGAUUAAUGAUCUUGAGAAGCUCUUUAGAUGUAGUCAAUGCAUUACUAACAUCCUUCAAACGAGUCUUAACUCCGACAGUUGAUCCACUAGGAGUCUGUGCUCGGGAUCUGGUCUCUACCUGCUUCAUAAAAUGAGGAGUUGAAUAACACUUCUCAAAAUCCUUAACUUUCUGACACAAGGUACAUGACAUCUGAAAAUCUUUCCAACUUUGGAUUUGGAAUUAUUAACACUUGAGCAUCUCAGUGUGAUACCUAAACAAAUUUAUACAUACAAACUGACCGAACAUCCAUGAAAAUGUGUGUGUGAGUGCGUUGCUGCUGAUGCAUAUGCAUCCAGCGUCAAUGUUUGUGUGUCCAACAGAGAUUAAACAUGCUCUGGAUGAACUAGAAAACGCAAAAAUCACUUUUAAUUUUUAAAGAGUACAAGUGCCCAAAUAUUAAACUUAAGUGGGUGUACCUCCAUUAAGCUAGCAUUACUAACAGAAUCCAAAACUCCCCCAUUGCUUUCUGUUAGCCUAAGCCUCUGAGAAAUGGAUGAUGAUCUUCUAUGGUGACUCCCUGUGCCUGAUCGAUCCAUCCUCUGGAAAUCAAUAAAUUUAAUAAUGAAAUGACCUGUUAUGCUGCAUCAACAUCUAAUUGACAAUAAAGCAUAUCAAACAGAAGUAUGAUUCUGCUGCAUCUGGUUGAAUGCUACCUACCAGCCCUGGCAAUCCUAUCCCCAACAAUUUGAUUGAUUUCCAAUGGGGAUCAAUUCUUUAAUAUUUAACUAAGACAAAUUGAAGCAAGAUUUCAAAUUUCUAUUUAUGUGAUCAUGUUAAAUGACACUUAUUGCACUCUUCUAAGUUCUAAAGGAUCACCGUUAUCGCCUGAUUACUAACAGAAUAUGGACAAAUUAGAACAUAUAUGGAUCCAAAAAAAUUAAAGCAAAACGAAGACAUAACUCCAGCAUCAUAUGCCAAAGCGCUAAAAAUACCUCUAUGUCAACGUCAACAAUCAGACAACAAACCUGAAUUUAAAAAUAAAACCGUUCCUCUUACCUUCAACACGACCGAACCUACCGCAAAAUAAUUAAAAAAAAAAAAAAACACAACAUCACAAGCCAUUGAAACAGAAGGAAAAUCAACAUGUAACAAAAGUUUCAAUUUCAUUAUGCAUACCCCCACAAAUUCCAAAAAAUAAAAUAAAAAAAUCUCAAACAUAUGCAAAAUUAAACUCACCUCAGAAACGGGGCUGUGAGAUGGAUCAGACAAAUGGGGAGGCAAAGAACCCGAAUGAAGGGACCGGGUGACCCGUUCCCUUUCUCUUUCUCUAGCUCUAGCUUCUCUCCUAAUCCUCCUCUCAUCAUACCCACCACCACCACCACUAGUCUCUCUCAGCUUCGGCGAGGGCAUCUCGUUCAUCUCCCACAGCGUCGCGGCCAGCUUCCUGGCGGAAACUGGCUGCUGAGAGUGCUGAUGCUGUUGCUGUAGCUGUAGCUGGUGUUGUUUCGCUUUAUUGACGAACCCACCAUACUCACUCUGGGAGUCGAUCGCACGCAAUACCGAAGACGGAGUAGUCCGCAUCAGCCUCCAUGUGGGCACCGGCGUAGCGGAUCCUCCCCCACCCCCUCUCUUGCCUAUUAGAAUUGCUCUUUUGAAUCUGUAGUUCUGAACGAUCGAUGAUGUUGACGAAGCUGACGAUGAACACCCACGUUUCCUUAUCUUUCCCGGGAAAAAAUUCUGGGUCUGAUUCUGCUGCCUUGACAUUGUUUCAUUCAACUAUUAUUUUCUAGAUCUGACCAAAAAAAAAAAAAACAGAAAUGCAGUUUAAAAAAGAAGAAGAUGCAUUUAUAAUGUGCAAGUUUGUUAUUUUUUAAAAAAAGGGAAGGAAAUUGAAAGUAGAAUAAUAAAUGCUAACUGAAUGCAGAGAGACAGAGAGAGUACCAUUAGGUGAUGUAACGAAGAGGAAAUUGAGGGAAUCAAAUCAUGAAAAGGGGGAGGCUUCGAUGGCUUCCGCUGCUUAACAGACUGUACACUUGAACGCUUGCGUUGUGCGUAAAAAGAGAGUAAAGCGGGACACAGAGAGAGCGAGGCGGUAGCAGUAAUCAGAAACGCUGCUGUGGUUUUGGAUGGGAUUAGCACGUGGCGCUACGGGACUGGCUGUUGUAGGGGGAAUUAAUUGAUUGUUAAAUUAAAAGUGACUAAUGCGAUAUCAUAUUUUUGUUGGAGCAAGUAACAUGAGAUGAGUGAGCAUGUGAUUUGUGAUUAUAAUGGCAGUGAAAUUUGUGGGAUUUUGGGGUUGGGCCACUUGGAUUUUACUAGAUUACCGCAUUUUCAAGCAAAGCAAUUGCGGCCUGAAAAUCCAGUCAAAUAGCAUUAAUCAUUUUAUCGAAGAGUAAUGUUACACUUGCGUGUACACUUAUAGGAGCUGUUUCGUGCCAAUUAAAUACUUUAGGAUAAAAUAAUACUAAUCUUUGUAUUUGAUGGUAAAAAUAAGAUUAACAUAAGUAAUUAUAAGCUCAUCAAUUAGUGAAGUGAAUAGUUAAAAAAAAGUAUACAUAUAUUCUAAAGGGACCCUUGGGAUAAGAGUGGUAAGACCAAAAUAUUUAUCUUAGUAUAGGGAGUUGGAAAAACGUGCUAAGGCUAAAAAUUAAGGGAAUGUUUUUUUUUUUUUUCAAUGUUUAGACUUACCGAACGAAUGGAUUUAAUGUAGAUUAUAUUUUAUAUUACUUCAUAAUUUUUUUAAUUUUUAACCAUGUUUGAUUUAAUCUAGGUUAUAUUUUAUGUUAUUUUAUAAUUUUUAUUUUUGGCUAUGUUCAGCCUUUGAUACGAAAUUCACAUGGCAUUGAUUUGUAUCAUUUCCUUUUUAUUUUACAAGUUACUCAUUAAGGAAAAAAUUAGUUUUUAAUAAGUCAACUAAUCAAAGUGACGUAAAUAUAGUAAACUAUUAUUUAAAAACAUUAAUGUAAUAAAAUAUUACUUUACAAUAAUUCAUGUAAUGAUAUGUUAUUUUGUGAUACUUGUCAUAAUAAAAUGAUAAUAAUCCUAAGAUUUAAUUAUAAAUUUGGGUUUUAUUUGAUGAAAAUAUAAUUUUAUCCAUGUGAUGUCAGUGCGAUAUCAUCAUUAGACUAACAGCACCAACGAAAAAGUAGUAAAAUGUUAUUUAAAAAAAUUAAUAUAAUUAAAUGUUACCUCUCAAUAAUUCGAGUAGUGGUUUCUUAUUUCUCUAUUUCUGUAAUGAAAAGAUAAUAAUAAUAAAAAAUAUAUUAAAGGCAUGUUAAACGAGUAAAAUUUUAGAAAAUAUAUUAGAAGUUUAAUUAACCAAUUAUGACACAUUUGAUAAUCUAAUCAAAUUAAUAUUUGAGAUUUUUAACAUCAUUAAUAAACAAUCAAUUAUAAAUCAAUUCCAACCCGACAAAGACUCGAUACCAACAUAACACACUAAAACAAAUGAAAUCAUUAUCCCUACAUGUGACCACAUGCAUGCAUGAUCAAAUUUCGACGGAGCCAAAGUUGUCACUCAAAAGUUAGAACUUAUCCGAACCUUUACGGGAACUGCUCUAAGCCACAGUAUCGUCAAAUAUCCAGGGAAUAAUUCAAGCAUAAGAACUGAAUAAAAACAAAAACAAAACAAAAAAAAUCCUGCUCGCGAUAUUAUCGAAAUUGCUAUUGUGCAUUAAAAAUAUCCUAAAAUUGCACGUAUCCGUCGCAUCAAUUGUCCACAUUUCACUUGUUCCUAGUCCAACUUACAGCUAGAUAUAGUCAAUGAUCCGAAAAAAGGUAUCUCCAUUAAUUCUCUCACAUACUGAACUGUUUCUCCAAGGGCUCAAGAGUUAUAGAACCCAGAAAAAAGAGCAAAAAAAGAAAAAUCAACAAUGGCGACUCGGUUCAUCUUUCUCUCAUUUUGUCUCCUAUUUUCUUCAACUUUGACCAUCUCAAAUGCCAAAAUUUUCCCAACAUUUCCUUCUUCAAGAAUCACCCCAGAGAAACUCUCAUCUCUUAUUUCAAAUUCCAAAGAUAGCCAGGGCUUGUACAAAACAAAGUAUCACACUCAGAUUCUCGAUCACUUCAAUUACAAUCCUCAGAGCUAUCAGACUUUCCAACAAAGAUACUUAAUCAAUGAUACUCACUGGGGUGGCUCCAAAAAUAAUGCUCCAAUUUUUGUUUACACUGGAAACGAAGGUGAUAUCGAAUGGUUUGCUCAAAACACUGGGUUCAUGUAUGAUGUGGCUCCAAAGUUCAAGGCCCUUCUUGUUUUCAUUGAGGUAAAUGAUCAAAGAAAAAUCCUCUUGCUAUUUUCCUUUUAUUUUCUCGGUAAACAAACAGAAACUGAUUGUGAAAUAUGCUAAUUGCAGCAUAGGUAUUAUGGGAAGUCCAUUCCAUAUGGAGGUUACAAAGAGAUUGCUUAUAAAAAUGCAAGCACAACUGGAUAUUUGAGCUCAACCCAAGCAUUGGCUGAUUAUGCUUCUUUGAUCAUUGAUCUCAAGAAGAAUUUGACUGCAACCGAUUCCCCAGUUGUUGUUUUUGGAGGUUCCUAUGGAGGAAGUAUGAUAAAAUAAUUAAUUUAUUCUUUAUUUCUUAGUUGUCUUUUCUAUUAUUUUCUCUUCAUUGAUAUCAUCACCAAUUCACCACGUUAUAUUAAAAUUCUCACCACCUGUGAAAGUUAAACACAUUUAAAGAUGUAGGUUUCAACUAGAUAACAAUGUUUCCUUUACAAAUUUUAGCUAUAAUUUAAUAUUGUGCACAUUAUAGUCGCUCACUAUUGUCUGGUACGAAAGUUAUAUUUUUAAAGAUGCAAAUGUCCGUAUUAAAAAAAUAACUUUAAUUUUAUCUUUAUCAUAUUUGUAUAUAAAUUAAACAACAUAAAAUAUACGCGAUAAAGAAAUUUAAUUAAGUUUUUGAUUGGGAUUGAUUAACAACGAAGUUUAUUUGUUUUUGCAGUGCUGGCAGCUUGGUUUAGGUUAAAAUACCCACAUGUCGCCAUUGGAGCCUUGGCAUCUUCUGCUCCAAUCCUCAAUUUCGACAAUAUAGUAUCUCCAUAUAGCUUUAGUAACAUUAUAACUCAAGACUUCAGGGUAUAUCUUUCUUUCUCUUUCAUCAAUACCAAUGCUUUACUUCCUUAGCUGUUCUAUAUAUACACACACAAUUAUUUAUUAUAUAACAUGAAUAGGACCAUAUUGAGCCUCAUGCAAUUAAUUAACCCAUAUGCAUGCAGCUGCCGGCACUAAAUUCCCAAAACAAUAAUAUUAAGUAACUUAUUAAACAAUGAAUGGUACUGUUGUCAGAAGCAAAUAACUCUAAAUUAGCAAUCUGAUUUUUUUAAUUAACUUUUGUUCUUGGGAAAAAUCAGAGUGUGAGCGAGAAUUGUUACAAAGUGAUCAAAGGGUCCUGGAAACAGAUUGAAGAGACUGCGAAAAAACCCGGGGGUCUUGAAAAACUCCAGAAAGCAUUUAGAAUAUGCAAGUAAGCUCUUGAGUACUCACUUGUUAAUAUAUCUCAAACACAAAUUUGAAGUAAUUAAUUUAAUUGUUUGUUUUAAUACCCUUUUUUUUGGUAUAAGUUUUUUUGUUAAUUAAUUUGGUUGUUGCAGAUCAGAGAAAAAUUUGGCCAUCGAAAGCUGGCUUUCAACGGCCUUCGUGUAUACGGCCAUGACGGAUUAUCCAACUCCUUCAAAUUUUCUGAAUCCCUUGCCAGCUUUUCCUGUCAAAGAGGUGCUCGCCUUGCAUAAUGCAUGCUCUUUUAAUGUCAUUUUAUUGAUUAAAUUUUUUGAUUAAUUGCAUUGGCCAAUCAAUGGCCACAGCAUAACAAUUGCAAGCGCAGGGGUAUAAUAGUAAAUUUAUUAAGUUAAUGAUGGCGUGGAUUUGGUUGACCGCAGAUGUGCAAAGCGAUUGACGAUCCAAAGACUGGAAAUGACGUGUUCGCGAAGUUGUACGGUGCCGCUAGCGUCUACUAUAACUACAGUGGAACUGCCAAGUGUUUCGAUCUAAACGGUGAUUCUGAUCCUCACGGCCUCAGCGAAUGGGGUUGGCAGGUUAGUGUUAUUUGAGUUUAUAUAAUAUUAUAUGUCCCUAUUUAUUAAAUCGCUAGUUAUCAUUAAUUUUAUCAAUUCAUUAUCAACCGCCAAGAGUAAUAGAUUUCUACAACCUAACAUUUGUCAUUAACCCACUUCCUAGAUAAUAAGUUUUUUCUUUAAUCUAAAUAAGAAGGCAUUUAUCCAUCAAAAGAUCUUUUUUUUUUUUUUUUUAAUUCUCCUAUCUAUUCUUAUCUAUUAAUAUGAGAAAGAUCAAAGUCCUUAUUACUUUACAUAUUAAUAAGCUAAUAACUAAAGGCUAAAUACUAACUUUCCAUUGAUGAUGCGAUUUUAAUUUGUGGCCCUCAAACUUUUAGGACGUUGAUUCUCUGAUUUAACUAAAGAACCUCCCACUAGACAUUAGUUGUUGGAAAGAAUAAAAUUGUAAUAAUAUUAUAAUAAUAUCUCUAACUUUUUUUUUUUUUAUUACAUGAGACUAUUGCUCAGAUUACAACUCAUAUACAUGAGACUAUUACUGAUAUUUACAAAUCAAACUAUUACUGGGACCAACUGACAUCAAUACUAAUGGAGCUCUGCCCAGAUUUUAACCCUCACAAAUAUUCGAGGGAUGUCUACUCCUCACUCAUGGGUAAGGGAGAAGACUACCUUCACUCAAAUUAAUUGAAGAAGGAAAUACCCCCACAAUGCUUUUGUGGGGGUUCGAACCGCUGCCCUCCAAGUUGAAGGGCAGCAGCCCUGGCCACUCGAGCUACUGCCCGA